CAAAGUCGUGAGGCGAACAACAAACAAUGAUCAUCCAUCCUCGUACCACUGCCUAAACACAAUCUCAUCGAGGAAAGGGGAAUAUGCCCCAGUGUAGAUAUCUGAUGUACAAUAAAGAGUCUGUCAAAAUCAACCAAUCAUCUCCAUAACCAUGAAUAAAGAUAGUCACACCGUCUAAUAACAGAUAGGAAUCUCGGAGGAAGGGGGAAAUAUGCGCUAGUGUGGAUGCCCAAUGCACGACAAAAUGAUGAAUCUGAUAUCCUCAAUGGGCUAUCUCCAAACCCAAAAAAUCCAUCAAACAUCAAUAUGCUAAGCAAAAGAGAAACCAAAUGCUUUCAAAAGUAUUUUCCAUAAAAGAGAACAUAGUAACGACUAUACUUCAACCAAUCUACAAAAGCCUGUCCAAGUGAAGACUGUCAAAGAUAACAUCUGAUCUCAUGGCCUUAGGGUGGUCUUAAGACACGGGACAUAACGUAGGCCAAGGUGAUAGGGUGAAAGAAAUGAAAGGAAACUAGGCUCAAAUACCCAAUGAUCAAACCCAUACCCUCGUGUACAAGAUGUAAUGCAUAGAAAAAUCUCAUGAGUCAUGGACUUAGAAGUAACCAAAGGGAAUGUUGAUAGCGAAAUGAGAGAAAUGAUGAAGGGUCAAACCAUCAAUGAAAUAUGUGAAUGAUGUGAAGAAGGUAUCAAAUCAAUAAUGGGUAUCAAUAUGUAGGGAAUGAAUAAAAGGUCGAACAAAGAUCUGGAAAGAGGUAAUGGGAUACAAAAGAAAGCAAUGAGAAAGUGAAAUGAGUGAUGAUCAACCCAUGUUAGUACAAUAAGAGAAAGUCAUAUCACCAAUGAUGGAAUGGUGAGUAUAAGACAAUGAUCCGGAGACCCUAGUAAAAAGGUCACUCAUCUCUCAUACCUAAUAUAUGUCAAUCAUGAUCCAAGCAGCAUAGGAUCUCAUAAAACUCCCACAUGAACCCUCGACACUCCAAAUGCAUAACAAGAGUGACUCAAGGAGUGAAAAACUCAUAAAAACCCUCAAUGACAAAUAUACCCAAUAAAUGAACCUCAACAGGUGGCAUAAAUGGCCAAUGGAAUGAGAUACCAUACAUGUGCAUAUCAUUGCGUUUUUUUUUUUUUUUUUGCGCAUGCUCUAAUCAUCAAUAAAUCAAACUCCAAUGGGAAAAAUAUAAGGAAUAAACAAACUCUCUCAAAUCACUGAUGAAUACAUAAGCCCUAUCCCAUGAGAUAAUCUCUCAAACCAAAAUCUUCGAAUCAAUGUCAGAUGAUGGGAUGAAUAGAGUGAUAUGACUGUCCUUUUUGCACUAAGAUGUGAAGAAUCAUCAACCCCAGGAAGAGAAUAGAUAAGAUGAGACAAAUAAUGAUGAAAACAAGAAAGAGAAUGAAUAUGUGGUGAUAAUAAAAUAAAACAAAUGGGGUGAUAAGGAUAUGAUAGGAAGAAAUAGAAGAUAGGCCUAUAAGUCUAAAGCUCAUGAGAUUUUCCUAGCAAAGCAUGCAUAUACAUCAAAGGGCCCCAACCCGGGUAUAGAAAUGGUAAUCAAAGCUAUAAGAAAGAAAUAAGGUUAUAACAUACCAUGCGAAGCUCAAUGGGCUAGCAACGGUCUAAUAUAUAGAGGUGAUAAAGUAUGAGGCUAACCAAAAUGAUGGCCACCCAUCCUGCGACCACGGUGUCAAACAUAAUACUUCUUUAGCUGAUCCACAUUGGUAGGCUCUGAAAAUUGGUUUCCAUCUAAGUCUGUCAACCAUGCAGCCCCUUCUGGAGUCAACUCUCGGAUAACAUAAGGUCCACUCUAACUAGGUCUAAACUUUCCUCUAGGGUCUCCAAUCAAGCCUCUAAGAAUCCUCAAAACUAAGUCCCCUUUUUGCAAUGGUCUAGGCUUAACUCGUUUCUUGAAGGCACGAGCCAUCUUUCUCUGAUAGGCUUGAACAUGAUCUGCCACUCUCAAUCUGCUCUCAUUUAAAAGGUUAAGCUGAUCAAAUCGAGCUUGAGCCCACUCUGUCUCAGAAAUCUGCUGCUCAAGGGCUACUCUCAAUGAACCCAUCUCUAUCUCGACUGGCAAAACAGCCUCCAUGCCAUACACUAGAGAGUAAGGCGUAGCUCCUGUAGAAGUACGAAAAGAGGUACGAUAUGCCCACAACGCAAAAGGAAGCUUCUUUGACCAAUCUCGAGAAGUCUCAACCAUCUUCCUCAAAAUCCUCUUAAUAUUCUUGUUUGCAGCCUCUACUGCCCCAUUAGUCUGUGGCCUAUAUGCAGAAGAUCUAUGAUGUCGGAUGCCAUACGUCUACAACAAAGUAUCUACCUCAGCUCGGAAGUGCACCCCUCUGUCGGAAAUCAACUCAUGAGGAACCCCAUAACGACAAAUGAUGUGUGAUUUGUUGAAACUAGCAACCCUAGCGGAUGUCAACCUCGCAUAUGAUGCGGCUUCCACCCACUUGGUGAAAUAAUCUAUGGCAACCAGGAUGAACUCAUGACCACUGGAAGAUUUUGGUGAUACCUUCCCAAUAAUAUCAAUACCCCAUACUGAAAAUGGCCAUGGCGAGGUCAAAGUGUGUAACUCUGAUGGUGGUGCAUGUAUGAGAUCACCAUGAAUCUGACACUUUGGGCAUUUCUGAACAAACUGACAACAAUCUGUCUCCAUAGUCAACCAGAAGUAACCCGUCCUCAUUAUCUUACGGGCCAGCAUGUGUCCUCCCAUAUGCGGACCACAAACUCCUGCAUGAACCUCUCUCAUCACCCAAUUUGCAGAGGCUCGAUCUAAACACAAAAGAAGCAUACCAUCAGCUGAUCGUCUGUACAAGGUAUCUCCACAAAUCACAAAUCUAGUGGCCAAAUUCCUUAGUGCUCUCCUAUCCUUGGCAGUGGCUACCUUAGGGUAUGUGCCAGAUCUAAGAAACUGAUAAAUGUCACGAUACCAAGGUAGAUCAUCCUGGACCUUUGUUUCUCCAAUCAAACAAUAGUAGGCGGGUGCAGACCUCAACUCAAUCAGCAACGGAUGUAUAACUACAUCAAUCGGAAUGUCCACAAAAGAAGGUAGGGUAGUUAAGGUGUCAGCAAACCAGUUUUACGCUCUAGGUAGAUGAACAUAUCUCAAGUCAUCAAAUCUCGCAACCAGCAACUCCAAAUAAGCGUGAUAUGACCUAAGCUUCACAUCCCUAGUCUUCCAAUCCCCUUGAAUCUGUCUAAGUACCAUAUUGGAGUCACCAAAUACCUCAAUCUGUCUAAUGUCAAGCUCCAAUGCAGUCUCUAAACCAAGGAUGCAAGCCUCAUACUCAACUAUGUUAUUCGUGGCGGGAUGUCGAUCAGAGAAUGCCAAACGAACAGACCUCGAAAUAUGAUCACCUUGAGGGGAUACCAACAGAACACCUAUCCCAUACCCUGACUAAUUGGCUGCACCAUCGAAGUACAUGCACCAUCCUGAUAAGCUGGCCAUAGCAACAAACUCCUCAUCUGGAAAAUCAUCAUCAACUGGUCUAUCCUCAGAUGUCGGUAGUGAGGCUAGGUGAUCGGCGACAAUACUUCCCUUAAUAGACCUCUGAGAAACAUACUGGAUAUCAAACUCUGUCAAAAGUACGAGCCAUCUCAUCAGUCUGCCAGUCAAUGCAGGUCUAUCAAAUAAGUAUCUCAAUGGAUCUAGGCGGGAUAUCAAAUGCACUGAGUACUCCGUCAUGUAAUGCCUCAAUCUCCUGGUAGCCCAAACUAGUGCUAAGCAUAGGCGCUCAAUCAUUACAUAUUUCACUUCAUACUCCAACAUCCUCUUAUUCAAGUAGUAGAUAGCCCGUUCCUUUCCUGAGUCAUCAAUCUGAGCUAACAUACAUCCCAAGGCCAUGUCUGAAACUGACAAAUAUAGAAGAAGUGGAUGUCUUGGCAUAUGAGGCACUAAAACAGGAGGAGAAAGAAAAUACUCCUUGAUCUUCUCAAAUGCAAACUAAUAGUCAUCAUUCCAAACUGUUGGCUGAUUCUUCCUUAAAAGACGAAAGAUAGGCUCACAUAUGUCUAUCAAUCUGGCUAUGAAUCGAUUGAUGUACUGUAAUCUGCCUAGAAAACUCCUGAUCUCUUUCUCAGUCUUUGGUGCAGGCAUGUCAAGUAUGGCUUUAAUUUUAUCUGGGUCAACCUCUAUGCCUCUCUCACUGACCAUAUGUCCGAACAAUUUCCCAGAAGUCACUCCAAAGGUGCACUUCUUGGGAUUCAACCUCAAUCUAAACUUCCGGAUCCUCUCAAAGAAUCUCUCUAGAGCAUCUAGGUGAUCUGCUCUACCUCGGGAUUUCACAAUCAUAUCAUCUACAUACACUUCAACAUCCUUAUGCAUCAUGUCAUGAAACAAAGUAGUAGCGGCUCUCUGAUAAGUGGCUCCUGCGUUCUUUAACCCAAAUGGCAUAACCCUGUAACAGUAGGUACCCCACUCAGUAAUAAAGGCUGUCUUCUCCAUAUCUUCUAGAGCCAUCAAAAUCUGAUUAUACCUUGAAAACCCAUCCAUGAAAGACAACAUCGAAUGGCCUGCGGUGCUAUCAACCAACAAAUCAAUAUGUGGGAGAGGGAAGUCAUCUUUGGGACUGGCUUUAUUAAGAUCUCUGAAGUCCACACAAACUCUAACUUUGCCAUCUUUUUUGGGUACUGGGACGACAUUAGCCAACCACUCUGGAUACUCAACCACUGAUAUGAACCCAACACUGAGCUGUUUCUAAAUCUCCUCUUUUACCUGCAGACUCCAACGUGGGUGCAACCGUCUCAAUUUCUGCUUAACUGGUCUGACACGUGGUAGGGUAGGUAAAUGGUGCUGGACUAUAGAGGGAUCGAGACCUGGCAUGUCCUCAUAAGACCAUGCAAAUACAUCCAAGUAUGACCUGAGUAAAUGAAUAAGUCUAUCUCUCUCAUCUGUAAAUAGGGGUGAACCAAUCUUCAGCUCUCUAGGCUGAUCAUCUGUGCCAAAAUCAACAGUUUCAACGUCCCCUGUAGCAAGUGAAACUCUCACAUCUAUGGGAUCGGAGUCAUGGUCAAAAGAGUCUCUAUCUGAACCGGGCUGCGCAAUCUCAUCAUCUAUAUCAAAUAUCUGUGAAAUGGAUGAGUGAGGUGCAGAUAUAGAGAUACUAUCGCAAGAGACAGGUGAAUACUAAAAAAUGCUCAAAUCCAUAAAUGAAGCAAUAGAAACAUCGUCAGAGCGAGAGACAAAUCCCGAUAAAACAUCAAAAGAAAGAGGUGGGUCCACAAGGUUGGACACUCCCUCAACUAGGCUAACAAUGCCCUCAAAUAAACUACUAUCAUCCUCUAGAAGCUCUGGAACAAGAAGAGUCUGAGUCCCCUCAAGAACCUCAAUGGUAGACACCCCAAACAUAUCAAAUGCUGAAACAGGCUGAAGCUGAACAAUGUUGGUAAUCUGGCUCACGGUCAUCAUGUCCAUCUCAUCUCGGUAGUCAUCAUGGGGAACAACUCCAUCAAUCAUCUCAGUAGGAUCAACAAUCACCCUAUCAUCAGUGAUAUCCUCUGGAAAAUAUAGAGAUAACAUGCUAGCUCGAUCUGGAGAUGUAGGAGUAGCCAUAGAAACAGAAGCGCCAUGACCCCCAUCACUCAACUGUAACUGGUGAAAUAGAUGCUGAAGCUCAAUCUCUCUAUCUGUAUGAACCACACUAUCAAUCUCCUCUAGACGAGGUCGAGUCUCUGAUCCUCUGACAAAGUAGUUAGCCAAACUCAUCCUAUAGGGUCAAAUAGGAUAAUCAAAUGGUGUGUGGGAUAAACGGGCUCUCACCCUCUCCUUGGGCAGUAGUGCCAUGUAACGGUAAUCAGCCUCAGUGGGGAUGAAUCCAAGUCCAAAUGUCGUAUCAUGGUCAAUGGCAGCUAUGAACUCACUCGGUCCUUGCUGACGUCGUCCUAACCCCAUGCCAGGUAGAAAAGUCAUACUCCUCAUCAUAUCAAGGACCACUAUGCUACUAUGCUGAUCAAAUGACAUAGCCACAAAGUUUCUACAAAAAUCUUCAAUCUCGAGAGUCUGUAUCUCAUCAAAAGUAAACCCAGUCAGAAGUAGGUCGUCCUCACUGUGACUGAUUUGAAGUACUGGCUCAGAAGCGAAAAAUAUAUCCCUGGUAGAGUGCACUAUGAUGACCUGCCCAUCAUGAAUAAACUUCACCUUUUGAUGAAGGGAAGAAGGAAUAACUCUAACUAUAUGAAUCCAUGGUCGGCCUAGUAGCAGGUUAAAGGAUGUAGGAAUCCUCAAAACUUGGAACAAAGUAGAGAAUGUGGCUGGACUAUUCUGCAAAUCAAUCAUCAAGGUACCCAUAACCUUCCUCUUGGUACUGUCAUACGCCCUGACUGUCUGAGUAGAAGGACCAAAAUCUGAAGGCGCGAAACCAAGGGCUAUAGCAGUGGCUAAAGGGCAAACAUUCAAGGCUGAGCCGUUGUCCAGUAGGACAGACGGGACUCUACGGCCUGAACAUCCAAUUGUGAUGUAUAGAGGGCGUAUGUGGUCUAAACCAUCAGGUGGCAAGUCAUCAUCUGAAAACACAAUGCAAGUGGCCCUACCAACCGUCAUCAUAUGAAUCAAUCUCUCAAGAGUGGUAGUAGUCUUUACUCUGAUCUGACUCAAGGCUCGAAUCAAAGCAUCUCUAUGAGUACUGGAUGAUGCUAAUAAACUCUAGAUGGAAAUGCGAACCUGAGUGUUUUGUAGCUGUCUCAAAACCUCAUCAUCCUUUCUUCUAAUCUCCUUAUGAGAGGUUGCACCCUCAAAUGGUCUGACUGCUGGUGGUGGUGGCUGAGCUAUCCUCCCACUACGAGUCACAAUCUGUACCUCUCUCCCCUCUGAAUCAUCGUCCUCUGGCCAUAAAGUGAAAGAGACAAAAACAUCCUAACAUCUGAUAACUAAGGGUGUAGGAUGAGUCAACUGGAAUGGUGCCUCGUCCGGGAUCAAACUGAAUGGUGCAGGAGUCUGAGGGACCAAUGAAACCCCAUCAAUCUCAUAACUAUCAUGCAAAACAAUCGGCUCGAGUAAUCCAUCAUCCCAACUCUACAUGUGUAUACCGUCAUCCUCUAUAAGACCCAUGUGAUGAAUAUCUCCUGAAGAUGGAGACACUGCGUGUGUAGAAUGAGCAAGAAGAGGGUUCAUAGUCACACUUAGCUACCCCAAGUUAACCAAACCCUGGUCUAUCAAGUCCUGUAUAGCAUGUCUCAAAGCAGUGCAAUGGUCCGUGUCAUGCCCUGGUCCAUGAUGGUAGGAACAAUAUAAGUCCAUCCUAAAGCGAGGUGGUAUGGGCUAGGGUAAAGGCUUGGAUGCUAAUGGAGUCAAUAAUCCACCCUCUGCGAGCUUCUGAAAAGCUUGACUCAAAGGCAUACCCAACUGGGCAAACUGACGUGGUGGCCUCUACACAUAAGUAGUGGUCUGUGGAGCUUGGGGUCGAGUAUAUGGGGCAGGAGGCCUCUCUGUGACAUGUGCAGCAAAAACAGGCUGUGAGACUGGAUGUAGAUAGGUAGGAGUCAUAGGUCUACAAGGAGUAGGCGGCCUGUAAUGCGCAUGAGGUGAUGGUGGAUAGUAGAACUCAGGAGUCUGCCCAACUGUCUGAUAGCGUCUAGGAGGCCUCAUCCCUGCUGAACUGAUAGCACCAACAUCUCCUGAUCUCUGUCCUCUUGAAGGCUUCUUCCCCUUAGAAUCAGUAGGGGAGGACUUAGACCAUAAUCCUCUAGCAAUGCCCUCCUCUAUGCUGUACAGGGCCUGUACCAAGGAUCCAAAAUCCGUAUGAGGAAAUCCCAUCAAAUGUUUAGCAAAUCUAGGCUGUAAACUCCUCAAAAUCAUACUAACCCAAUCACUCUCUGAAGGACGGUGUAUAAUCUGUGAAAUAUUUUCCCUCUAGCGGGAGAACCGGCCUCUGUCUCAAAGCCUCCAACUUUCUCCUCGAAACAUCAAUGACAAUGUUAAAUGCAAACUGUCUCAAAAACUCAUGGGCUAAGUCAUCCCAAGUCCUACGACAUGAUACCUCUAAUGAAGCGAACCAACGCUGUGCAGCACCACUCAAUGACAUAGGGAAAAACAUAACCAUCUGGGCCUCAUCCAGUCCAUGGGUUCUCAUAACCGUACUAUAGAGUCUCAAAUGGAUACGAGGGCAUCCUACGCCUGUGUAUCUCUCAAUCUCGGGCAUCCUGAAUUUGGUCGGUAGACUGGCCACUGGUGCUCCAUCAAAAUCCUCCCAAGUAAUAGCUGCCUCUGAAGUCCUCAUCUGUCUCAACUUCUGCUCAAGUCUGUCCAUACGAGUAUGUGGGUCCUUUGAGAUCGGGGUAGGCAUUAUGGCAGGAGGUGGUGUGACCUCAGUCUGACUAUGCAGAGUAAAAGGUACAGUCUGUGUUGCUGGCUGACUGUGCAGAGGUGGUGGUGGUACUGUGGUAUCAAACUAGGUAUCCUCCUGAACUAGGACCUGUUGGGCCUGUUGUCCAUCUAUCAUCUGACCAAGAUUAGCUAUAGCUUCCUGGAUAGAAGCCAUGGCUGUGGCAAACUGGUCAACGGUAACUACCUGUGAGUCCAUAUCCCUUUGAUCUGAUCUCUGAUCUGACUGAUCUGAUGCUCUGGUCAAUCUGCCUCCAACUCUAAUCCACGAAGGCGGAUCCAGAAUGGUCACGAUAAACUCUCCUACAAAUAUGGAAAUACUGGAUAAGGUGUAGUACGAAGGCGACUCUGUAUGAAUCAGCUGAUAAACGUGCAAGAAAAUAGCCCAAAUGUACUCAAUUUGAUACCCUCCUUUGAUUACACCAAAAAGGAGACUAAGGAAGGGAUAACCGAAUCCAAUCGUGACCAAGGCAGCUCUGAAGGUCCACAGAUGCACCCACGUGUAGGAGUGAAAUCUUAAUCGGCUCUAGGCUAACUUACAAGGUUAAAGCGACUCUAUAGGAUAAAAUGGGUGGGUCAAAGGAUCCCUAGCAGAAGCGAUCAUACCCUCCGACGAUACGUAACCCUCUACACGCUUCUAAGGAGACGGGGUGCUUCCAUGCAAGGUGGUCAUUACCUCCACACAUGCACUUCUUCGCGUUCCCAAGGGGUUUCUUAAAGGUGAAGGCUCUCCCAUCUCUCAACACUCAGGGAUAAUCUAUAGUGCACAAUGAAGGAUGUGGGUACAUUCGAAAAACCUAAGAUCUAAAGUGAGAUAGUGAACAAAGACAAGCAAUCAUACAAUCAUGCAAAAGAAAGGGCUGUCAUGCAACAAGCAGUCAUGCGAAGCAGAUAAAUAUCAAACAAUCAAAAUCCUAUCUAACAUAUGCGAGAGUGAAUCAUGAUGAAGUGAGCAAAACAAUCAAGUGAUCAUCCAAGGUAAUCAAACAUGUUAGGAUAGCAAACCAAACAGGCAAGCAAAUCAAAUCAUCUUGCCCAAAAAAGAGGUACCCACUAAUCGACCAAUUAAAUGCUCAGCUAGUGUUCAAGCUUGAUCCUCAAAAUCCCCAGCGGAGUCGCCAAUUUGUGGACUCGCAUUUUUCACGUGCGCCCCCACUCGAUCGACGAGACUCGCUUUUUAUUUGUGAAAAAUUAAUUUUGGAAAAAGUUGGAGUCGCCACUUAUUUUAUUUUUAUUUUAAAGGGAAAAUAAAACAAGAAAGAAAAACCCUAAAAUGUGACUCCAUAAUUUUUGGAAAAAACAUGUCUUUGAAAAACCCGAGUCUGAGUCCGGGGAUCAGGUUACUUAUUGGGAAGGUACCUCUAGGAGGCAGCACCCCUCUAAGCCCUAUAAAGGUCUCUACUAACAAAGUUAAGGGAAGUGUGGCCAUUAAUCAGUUAAUUAUGGAUACCUAAGUAGGCUAGGUGAUUUUAAAGAGUGGCAUGCCAAACACAAUCAAAUUGCAAUAAAGGAGAGUUAGGGUGCGUACUUGAACCACUCUUCAAGCGCUAUCAUACAACAUAAGAGUUAGCGUAGGAAUCUAUCACACAACAUAUGUCUUAUCCGGGCAAAUCUAAUAUAUAUUUAAACACCCAAGAAUCACAUCAUGCAUGGAUGUAGUCACCAAUAGCAUACGUGUCUGUAGAAUUCUCAAAAAAAGAUGAGAAGGAGCGUACCUGGAUAGCAAGCUAAAGCGCCUUUAUGGGAAGCAAGGUUAGCCCAAUAACAAAUAUAAAACAAAUUCUAGCAUAUCUCCAAGAGGAAAUCAAAAUCAAUUAAAUACCAAACAAUCACCUUUAAAAUCCAUAUUAGUGAAGAUAUCAAGAAUGUAGGACCCCCACCAAAGUCCAUAUUAAUUUUUCACGAAUUGAUUCAAUGAGUUCCAUUGCUUGGAAUCAUGAAGUUUGUUCAUGCUUGUUGAAAAUUGAGAAAAAUCAAGAAAAUCGGUUGAAAAUCAAAUAAAAUAGUGAAAAUGCAUGCUGGAAGGAAAAUGGCAGUAAGAGUGUGUUAGAAUAUGGAUUUUAUUCCUAGAAAAGGGCUUAAGAUGAAUUUUUCAAAACCAGGAAUGUUUAGUUGGACAAAGGUUCAAAAAUUCAAUUUAAAACAAUAAGUUCCCAAUCAAAGAAGCAAACAGAGGAGAAGAUGUGUAUAGCAAGGUUGCCAUGAAGUGAAGCUGGGAAAUUCUGGAUAGAAGGGACCAAUUCACUGCAAGAGUGUUCAAUUGUCAAAUGCUUCAACUUAAAAAGACAUCUUGAUUUGUAAGCUCAAUUGGAAGUUGAAUCGUUCUCCUCUUCCUUCUAGCGUCAGGAGCCGGGUGUGAAAUAUCCGGAGAAGGUGGAACGUCGGCCGGAUAGAAUGGCGGCUGUGAGACAUCCAGAGAAAAUGAGAUGUCGGCCGGGUGGAAUGGCGGUUGAGGCAUCCGAGUGGAAUGGCGGCUGUGAGACAUCCAGAGGAAAUGGGAUGUCGACCGGGUGGAAUGGCGGUUGAGGCAUCCGGGUGGAAUGGCGGCUGAGGCAUCCGGGUGGAAUGGCGGCUGUGAGACAUCCAGAGAAAAUGGGAUGUCGGCCGGGUGGAAUGGCGGCUGAGGUAUCCGGAGAAAAUGGGAUGUCAGUCGGGUAUGAUUGCGCUGAGAUAUCCGGGUGGAAUGGCGGCUGUGAGACAUCUAGAGGAAAUGGGAUGUCGGCCGGGUAUGAUUACGCUGAGAUAUCUGGGUCGAAUGGCGACUGUGAGACAUCCAGAGAAAAUGGAUUGUCGGCCGGGUGGAACGACGGCUGAGGUAUCCGGGUGGAAUGAGCAAUGCCAUAAACUAAGAACCCUCAAGAACUAUGGUAACCUCUGGAUCUGUUUAACUGCAUGAAAACUCAUUUUAGACAGCCUUUGUCAAGUUCCCACAUUUCUCGGAAUGCUCAUGGUCCCCAUAUCCGAGAAUACCAAGGUAAAGAAAGGGAAGAAAUGUAGAUAGAGAUGCACACAAAAAAACCAAGAAAGAAAAGAAGAGAAAACAGGGAAAAGAAAGAUGAUAGGUGGGUAAUAAGAAUAAGUCACAUUUUAUGCUUUUCAAAAUGGCUUGAAGAAUUGAACACAUUAAGACAAACUUAGUUCAGAUUAUACCAAUAUUUCACAAACAUUAAAGCUCAGCCAUAAAUCUCUGUUUCAGUUAUUUGUAGAAAGAAUCUAAGAAAUCAAGAAUACAAUCAUAACAGAGCAAGCUUGAAGGAAAUUUCGAUUCAACGACGUAAAUAAGUGGCCCUCAAUAUCCACUCCAAUCAGCAAGAAUAACAUCUCGAAAACAGCUAAAGAAUCUAGAGUGGAAUGUAAACGGGAAUACCAAAAAAAUCAAAAAAAAGAACAAGGAGCGUACUUGGCAAAUUCCUGGCUGCAAUCUCCCUUUUUCCUGCUCUUCUACGCCUUUCCACCCCUCACAAUCAAAAGAAUCUCUCUCUUCUCCCUUUCUUCUCUCAUGUAUAUAUGUCAGCCCCCCUCAUCACAAUCCAAAGAAUCCCCUAAAUAUGUUGGAGGAAAAUCCCCUCAUUCCUUCAUUUUGUAAUCUACUUUCCUUUCUUAUUUUCUUCCCUUUUAUGACUGAUUCUCCCAUGGAAAUAAUAUAUGUGUUAUUUUUCUAAAAACAAAAUCUUUUUUUUUUUUUUUUUCAAAAUUCUGUUGAUUUUCCUUCCAAAUAGAUGACGGCUCGUUUCCUCAUGCCCAAAAAGCCAAGAAAUAUGAUGUAGAAAACUUGUAAUAAGAUAAAAUAAAAUAAAAUAAAAAUAAUAAAGAAAUCCAUAUAAGCCACACAAGUCAUGUAGGCCAUGCAAUCAUGCAAGUCAUAUAAAAAGUGGGUUUAAAAGUGCUUAAAUGGGCCUAAGUGAACUAAGCCUAAUGAAGUGUUUAAGUGGGCCUAAGCAGACUACCCUAAAAGCUAUCAUAAAAAUGACUGAAAAGCCUAACUCUAAAAUAGGGUUGCCAAAGGUCACGAUAAGGGGUCAGACAAUCCCUCAACUAAUGUCUUCGAGGUGACUCAGAAAAAGGUAAGCCGUAUGAGUAGUAAUGGGCCACCAAGGAGUUAUUAUGGAGCAUUAAAAAAAAUGAAUUUAAAGACAUGUGCUAAAGGAACAAAAUUGAGGGUCUACAUUAGCCUUCUAGAUGAGAGGAGAUUGAGGGCAGCAGAUCAUGUUCAGGCUUAUCAGAGGAAGAUGACCCGUGCAUUCAGAAAGAGGGUUAAACCUAGGAAAUUUCAGAAGGGUGACUUAGUCUUGAAAGUCCUCAGGGGAUUGAUCAGUGAUCCUAGAGGCAAGUUUAGACAGACUUGGAGCGAGCCUUAUGUUAUUCGAGAUUUGACUCGAGAGGGAGCCGUCUGGUUGAUGGACCUAGACGAAAAUCAGUUUACGGAGCUAGUCAAUGUGGAUCAGCUGAAGAAGUUUUAUGCAUGAGAUCAUGGUCAGAGGAUAGGUGGCCAUCAUUUUUGAGUAGCCAUUUUCCCUGUUGCACACCCACACAUUGAUAUAUCAUAUUGCUAGCCUAUUGAGCCUUAUGCGGUUUGUUAUGGCCUAUUCAUUCAUUUAGCCUUGCAUACCUUUUCUCACUUGGGUUGGGGGCCUACCCCUAUGUUCUUUGCAUUUAUUGAUUGGAUCUGUGAGUAUCAUGAGCUUUGUGUCAUUGUUCAUGUGUUCUUUCUUUGGUCAUUCAUGGUUUCUUCUUUCGUCCAUCGUGCAUUUUCAUUUUGCUUGCCUUUGAGUUCUUCUUCUAUCAUCUCGACUCUAUUCGCUUUUUUUUUUCUCUUAUGUGAUGAUGACACGCUCUUGUCCCGGAGCUACAGGUCAAGCCUGUCACAUAUUUCAUUCCACAUGUAGGCUUUGAUCCAGGAUUCUUAGGUUGAGGGACCAUUUGGGAUGAGAGGUUUGAGGUUCUUUUGCUUGGACUAUGCUAGUGUGGCAUUUAGCUAGCUUUGGUUGUUCGGCGCAAAAAAAAAAAAAAAAAAAAAAAGGUGCUUGUUUGGUAUUUGUUGUUAUACUUGGGAUCAUUAGAGGUCAUUUGGGUUUGAGAGAUUUAUUAUUCCUCUGAGAGUUGGGUGAGAGCAUUGUACAAUCCUUCUCCAUGGAUCUGGGUGACACAUUGGGAGUGAGGUUUGGGUUUCUUUGGAACUCGGUCCUCUAGAUCAUUGUUUACAUCACCUUCCCCAUCUUACAGUGACUUGCUUCGGUUUGGCAUUCUUGGGAUGAGUUGUUCAUCAUUGUCACAACUUGCUACAUUUCUAUCCCAACUUGUUCCUCCAUUUUCUACUACAUCCAUUCAUCAUUUGUCUUAUCCCUUUUCGUCUUCUUCUAUCCCCAUUCAUCAUUUGUCUUAUCCCUUUUCGUCUUCUUCUAUCCCCAUCGAACGUCGUCUUGCUUUAUGAACGAUGAGUUCUUUGGUGCACAUCACCUAUCGUUUGACGUUAUUCAUUUGGAUGUAGGUUGAGUCACCUUGCUCACAUGAUUAUGUGAUGUUUGGCAUUGUGUACAGGGGUUUGGCAUUUAGUUAUUGGGUAUUUGGGCCUUUCUUUCCCAUCAUUUCAUUCACCUUUUACCCAUGGCCUACAUUACGGUCCGAGUCGUAAGACCACCUUGAGGCCAUGAGAUCUCGUGUCUACUUCGACGCGGUUCAUUCGGACAAGCUCCAUCUACUGAUUGAGUACGGGAUGUCGACAGGUCUCCAUUGCUUUGAGGAAUAUUAAGGGUCACAUAUUGCAUUUCCAUUUAGUUUGCUUGCCUCAGGUCCAUGAUCAGAGGCAGAUGAUACAGAGAGUUGGGACCGUUGAAGGCGCCUUUGCUUGAUGCUUUGACAUGUUCAUACUGGGGCAUACCCCUAUCCUUGCAUGCUGGCUUCGACUCUUACACAUGUACGCAGGCAGUUCGUUUCGCUUAGAGAUGUUUUGGAUAUCAGAGUUUGAGUAAGCCCCACGUUUAGCUUGGUUUCUUCAUACAAUAGAGUGCUUCUAGGAGCUGACCUGAGAUCAAAUUCACGGUAUUCAUUGACCUAGCAGGGGUGUGCACAUCGGGGCAUACCCCAUUCAUUGUCUUGUUCGCUAGCUCAGACGAUUGGGUCUUCAGUGAUGUAUUUCAGAGUUUUCAUUGAGAUAUUUAAGUUUUGGAUGUACACAUUAGGGCAUACCCCUAUCGGUUUUUUUGUGCAUAUUGGAUGUUAUGGAUUAUAGUGGAGGGUUUUUCCUUAGGGAUGGAUGUUUGUGAUAUUUUCAGCUUUUUGACUUUGACUCUAUGUGCACUUGCGGGUUUCUAACAUGGUUUUGAUGCCUUAGACUGGGGCAUGACCCUUUCUUAGCACAUUUGGUCAAGUUUAAGAGUUGUCAUACAGGGACAUACCCCCCAUCUUUCUAUCUUGUUGGUGGGGUUAUUCAUUUCUUGUUUUUCGGCAUUUUCUGAUGUCAUACUAGGGCAUACCCCCUUUCCUUCACCAUGAUUGACGGGUUUGACUUUUCGCUUAUUUGAGUCAUUUAUUGACAUUUUUCGGACGCCACACUAGGGCAUACCCCCUCUUUCAUGGUGCCAUUGCUUUUCGUUUCCUUUCAUUUCGACGGCCCUCCGUCAUUGUGCCUGGAUCCUCUAGUCAUUCGACGGCUCUUCGGCAUCGUGCCCGGAUUUCCUUUCAUUUCGGCGGCUCUUCGACAUCGUGCCUAGAUCCCCUAAUCAUUCGACAGCUCUUCGGCAUCAUGCCUGGAUCCCCUAGUCAUUUCGGUGGCUCUUCGGCAUCAUGCCUGGAUCCCCUAGUCAUUCAGCGGCUCUCCGGCAUCGUACCCGGAUCCCUUGGUCAUUUGGCUGCUCUCCGGCAUCGUGCCCGGAUCCCCUAGUCAUUCAGCGGCUCUCCGGCAUCGUGCCCGGAUCCCUUGAUCAUUUCGGCGGCUCUUCGGCAUCGUGCCCUUAGUCAUUCGACAGCUCUCCAGCAUCGUGCUUAGAUCCCCUAGUCAUUUCAGCGGCUCUCCGGCAUCAUGCCCGGAUCCCCUAGUCAUUCGGCAGCUCUCCAGCAUCAUGCCCGGAUCCUCUAGUCAUUCGGCGGCUCUCCGACAUCAUGCUCGGAUCCCCUAGUCAUUCAACGACUCUCUGGCAUCGUGCCCUGAUCCCCUAGUCAUUUCAGUGGCUAUCCGGCAUCGUGCCCGGAUCCCCUAGUCAUUCAGCAGCUCUCCGGCAUCGUGCCCGGAUCCCCUGAUCAUUUCGGCGGCUCUCCGGCAUCGUGCCCUUAGUCAUUCAACGACUCUCCAGCAUCGUGCUUGGAUCCCCUAGUCAUUUCAGCGGCUCUCCGGCAUCAUGCCCGGAUCCCCUAGUCAUUCGGCAGCUCUCCGGCAUCAUGCCCGGAUCCUCUAGUCAUUCGGCGGCUCUCUGGCAUCAUGCUUGGAUCCCCUAGUCAUUCGACGACUCUCUGGCAUCGUGCUCGGAUCCCCUAGUCAUUUCAGUGGCUAUUCGACAUCAUGCCUGGAUCCCUGGCCAUUUCGGUGGCUCUUCGGCAUUGUGCCCGGAUCCCUUAGUCAUUCGGCGGCUCUCCGGCAUCGUGCUUGGAUCCUUUAGUCAUUUCGACGGCUCUCUGACAUCAUGCUUGGAUCCCCUAGUCAUUCGGCGACUCUUCAACAUCGUGCCUGGAUCCCCUCGUCAUUUCGGCGGCUCUCCGGCAUCAUGCCCGAAUCCUCUAAUCAUUAAGCAGCUCUCCGGCAUCGUGCCUAGAUCUCCUAGUCAUUCCGGCGGCUCUUCGGCAUCGUGCCCGAAUCCUCUAUUUUUCAGCAUCGUGUUUGAUUUUCUUUUAUCUUUCCCAGCAUCGCGCCCUGAUUUCCUUUGUUUUCUUCGGCAUCGUGCCCGGAUCCCCUAGUCAUUCCGGCGACUCUUCGGCAUCAUGCUCGAAUCCCCUAUUUUCUGGCAUCGUGUCCAGUUUCCUUUUAUCUUUCCCGGCAUUGCGCCCGGAUUUCCUUUGUUUUCUACGACAUCGCGCCUGGAUCUUAUAUCUCUCCCGAAAAUGCAUUCGGUUUUCUCUUAUCUUUUUUGGCACCGUGUCUAGAUUCCUUUAGCUUUCUCCGGCAGCGUGCCUGAGUCCUUUAGUCCUUCUGCCAUCAUGGCUCAUUCCCUUAGCCUCUUUAUGGUUGUGUGGGGACAAAAUUGUUGGUCAUUUGAAUUCUUCACUAGAGUUCAUUUCACUCAUUCAUUGCUUGCACUUUGGAUUCACGACUCACUCGUUCAUUCACUCUACUGAAGAGGGGCAUAUUUAUAGACCCUCAAUUUUGUCCCUUGACACUUGCAUUUUAUCCUAUGCGUGUCACAUGCAUCCAUGUUUUCAUAUGACCCCGCCAUGACCUCCUUUUGACCUUGAUCGGUUUCUAAGCCUUGUGUAGGUUCAUUUGCGGUCCAAUGUAGUGCAGGUGUGUAGUUCAUUUUGGAGUUCUGUCAUGGCCAAUUUCCCUAGUUGUUCACAUCAUGCUAUAGGGAAGGAAGUGAGGCCCCCCAAAAAUUUCAGUUCAGUUGGAAUUCAUAGGAGCAGGUCUGAAUUUAGAGCACUUGGGCUUGUUUUGAUCAUAUCUCCCUCAUCCUAACUUGGAAUCGCGCACGUUUUUUUAUGGACUCUUUAUUCUUCAAGGAACAUUCUUUCAAAAUUUCAAUUUUUUUUCUCAAUCGGCUCGACUAGUUCCCAAAGUUUCAGUUCAAUUGGAAUUCAUAGGAGCAGGUCCGAAUUUGGAGCACUUGGGAUUGUUUUGAUCAUAUCUCCCUCACCCGAAUCGGAAUCACACAUCGUUUUUUUUAUGGACUUCUUAUUCUUCAAGGAACAUUUUGUAAAAAUUUCAAAUUUUUUCUCAACCAGCUCAAUCGGUUCCCAAAGUUUCAGUUUAGGCAGACUUCAUUGAAGCAGGUUCGAAUUCGGAGCACUUGGGCUUGUUUUGAUUAUAUCUCCCUCAUUCGACCUCGGAAUUGUGCACUGAUAACCUGACUCUUGGUAGCUUGGCAUGUAAGGGUAUCAACAAAAUUUAUACCUAAGGUCUUUACACUAAAGUAGCAAAACUACUAUAGCAUAGUGGCUCUAGGAUCGAACACUGGGAAGAGUUUUUACUUUAACUGGUGAAGUUCGGAGGAUGUAGUGAACUUUUCUUAAUAAAAAUUAGGUUAAGAUGAAAACAUAAAAAAAUGAAGGUGUUGUAAACUAAACUAACAUGAAAAUAGGUUAAAAGAUGGAAAAAGAAGUUUCUCAAAGCUUUGGAUAGCCAUGCUUAACUCACUGUGUAAAAAUGGAGAUUUUAGGACUUUUCACCUCGAGUUGGGGAAGCAACUAAGGUGAUGCUUACUUCCCGAACCAGUAUGAGUUUAACAACUGAGUUUUAGUCCUUGAAAACUUACAAAAAGGGUAGCAAAAAAAAAAAACCUCAUAAAUGCUCUUUUAUUGGUAUAGGUCAUCUCCUCGACUUGCAAUACAAUGGCUCGUAGGAGAUAACUAAUGAACGUCAGUGGAUCUAACAAUAAGAAUCCACUGAGACCAAAAGGUUAUCAAUUAUUGACCAUUCAAAGCAAGUCAGAGGGAUUAAAAGCUUUACUUUGAAUGAAAACAUUUAUGACGCUCAGCUACUUACAUUUAUGGCUUGGAAAUCUCCAUCCUGACACGGGAGCUUCACAUGGCAUCCAUUACUUCAAGAAACUAAAAGGUUUUAGCCUCUCAUCCUUGGGGAUUUCAUCCUCCAAGGAUGUUUGGCUACUAAGAAAAUGAGAAAGAAAAGAGAAAAGAAGCGUAUGAACAAAAGUGCUCUUAUAACUUAUAAAGUUACAGGUUACAAGAUGAUCGUGUCUGAGGCUCUUCACCUCUAUUUAAAGACAAUAAAAAGCUAAAUUACAAGAGCUAUUACAAAAGCAACCUUUUCAUUGGUUGAUUACAAGGGUAAAAUAGGUAUUUACAAAGCUAAAAGUCAAGCAAAAUAUCUUGGAGAACCGGCAGUGGAAUAUCAUCAACAACGUCUCAAAACAGGGGAUUUCAAAGGCAUUUCGCAAGGGGGGAAGAUGAAAGGUCCAAAUUUCGCACCAUGAGGAAAAUCCCCUUGCAAAAUUUUGGCAAGGUGAAAUUCACCUUGCGAAAUGGUGUUCCCAUUGCUUGUUCUCGUGUUUCCACUUGAAAUUCAAGCCUGUAAACGUCCAAAAUCCUUGGUUAACUCGCCCAAGUAGCUCCUCCAUCAAUUGGCAUGCUUGAAUUGGUUCAAAAGCUGAUGAAAACAUGUAAACUUGCCACUAAAAAUGGUUAGAACUAAUUACUAAGGAGCUUAAUGAAUUAAUUGGGUUAAAUGAAUAUGAUUACUACUCAAAGGUGCUUAAAACCCUUAUAAUUAGGUCUACAAAAUAGCACUUUUCGAUAGUAAUCACACCCCCCAACCGACUCAUUGCUAGUCCCUUAGUAAUGGAGGAGAUAAAAACUAAGCAAACAUAAUAAUAUACAUAAAAGAGGUCAUGCAAAUCACUCCAAAAAAUAAUUGAGUGGCAUGACUGAUAUCAAAACACAUCUCACAUGGUGAACUAAAGAUAUGAAGAUUCAAAAUGCAAUAGGAGUUGUCAAAGCUAAAACUUAAACAAAAAGUACAAAGAGUGGAGAUUAUGCAAUUAAGUAUCAAAAGAAUCUCUACUCUCAAGGUUCCGAAUCAAACUCUUCCAUAAUGAGCUAAGUGUUAAUGAGAUUAGCUUCCGGAUAUAGUAUGUACAACUAUCCUCUCCCCCCAACCUAAGCUUUUCUCGAACUUUGGCAAAAUUAACCAACUCUUAAUAAGUUAGGAACGCACCUUCUUAUUCACUAUUCUUUUUACUCACUAAACUUAACCAAUUCACCUAUGUAGCAAGCAGAGGAUCGAUGACUUCCAACCAACCAAUCAAGGUUUAGGGCAUCGGGUUUUAAAGGCUUUCGCCACCCCUUCGGAUCAUGCUUAGGUUUUAAGGAAAGAAUAGAAGCUUAUUCCUUUUUUUUUUUUUUUUUUUUUUUUAAGACUCAUUGGUCUUUUUGAGGUGUCCCAACACUAUUAAAAAGAGGUUAAGUAAUGAACCAAGUCAAAAUUUUCCUAAGCUUAGAGGGUGAGAAAGUUUUACAUCAUAUAUCCGGGAUCUAAUGUGCACGGUGUGUGUAAAGCUUGAAAUGGAAGAAAUAAGUUCGAAAUCAAAGAGGGCUUCAAUAGAUUAUCAACUUUGAAAGCAUAAAACAAACUCUAAGACUUAAGUAAUUAAGUUAAAACUCGACUUAUCCUAUUUUAUUUUGAAAAAUUAUCUUUAACAACCAUAGAGAAUGAAACAAAAUUUUUUGAAAAAGGUCAAAAACUACUAAAUCAACAAAAUAACUAACUAAAAUAGGAAAUACUUACUUCCUCAACUCUCCCCCCAACCGAGAUGAACAUUGUCCCCAAUGUUUCUAUCGAAAAAGACGAGGAAGGAAUGAUAUACCUUAUGGUGAUGUGGUAUUCAAGGCGUGUGAGUGCAUCCACAUGAUUCAAAAACCAUAAGAAACAUGAGAGAGGAAAUAAGAUACAAAAAAUGAUGCUUAUAUAAACUGAGAGAGUUGAGUACAAGAUAUAAGCAUGAGGUACAUACAAUCUCAGAAUAUAAAACAUGUAUCAUAUACAAAAAACAUAUACAAAAUGGAGAUAGAAAUAUCCAAUCAUGGAUGUGGCUCCUGAGGUGGAGGAGGUGAUAUGCCUAGGUGAUGGUGGAUCUGAGAGAGCAUGAAGAAAAAAUUUCGUAAGGUGAAAAUUCACCUUGCCAAAUUUUCGCACUGGCUACUCCCCUUAAAAACCAAUCCCAAGAGGUUGCAUUUUGAUAUUUGCUUUGAAAACAAUUUUGCAAGGUGAAAAAUGACUUGUGAAAAUAUUCGCACUGGUUACUCCUUGCGAAAGUGCAAUCCCGAGAGGUUGUAAAUUGCAUCUUGCCAAAAUGUGCAUUUCGCAAACUCACUUUUUGAGUUGCGAAAUGGGCUUUUAAGCUUGGACUUAGAUAUAUUUCUCCCCUAUUUCACCUUUCUCUCCACAUUUGUGAGCUUGUGAGCUUUUGUACCUGCUAUUGGACAUCAAAGCUCCAUUAAAAACAUAAAAAAUCAAAAUCAAAACUAAGAAACCUAAACAAAAUAUGUACAAAAGUAUUAAAAAUGCAAAGUAAACAAGAAUGUAAUACUAAAAUUAAAACAAAAAGAGAUGAGCACUUAGCUUUUCAUGCUAAGCUCAUCAACUUACCACACUUUCUCAAGGAUCUGAUGAGUCAUGGAGGAUGAGUAUCUCCUUGUCACGGGAAAAUGGCUCGAUGUAGGGCUUGAGUGUUUGCCCAUUUACCUUGAAGGUCUUUGCACUUUUUGAGUUGAGUAACUCAAUUACUCCAUGUGAGUGUACUUGGUGGAUGACAAAAGGCCCUACCCACCUUGAUUUGAGCUUUCCCGUAAAUAGGUGAAGCUUAGAGUCAUAUAGCAAGACUCUUUGUCCCUUGAAAAAUUCUUUCUUGGUCACCAACUGAUCAUGCCAUCUCUUUAGCUUUUCCUUAGCUAUUUUUGAGUUGAGAUAGACAUCAUUUCUCAAUUCCUCAAGCUCAUUCAAAUCCAAACUCCUCUUUAGCCCAGCCUUAGUUAAAUCCAUGUUGAGCUUUUUAAUGGCCCACCAUGCCUUGAACUCAAUCUCAACGGGAAGAUGGCAAGCUUUGCCAUAAAUAAGACGGUACGGUGACAUCCCAAGGAUAGUCUUAUAAGCCGUCCUAUACGCCCAUAGGGAAUCAAGGAGCUUAACAGACCAAUCUUUCCUAUUGGUUGAUUACUACCAAAAAGUGCUAUUUUGUAGACCUAAUUAUAAUGGUUUUAAGCACCUUUGAGUAGUAAUCAUAUUCAUUUAACCCAAUUAAUUCAUUAAGGUCCUUAGUAAUUGGUUUUAACCAUUUUGUGGCAAGUUUACAUGUUUUUAUCAGCUUAUGAAUCAAUUCAAGCAUGCCAAAUGAUGGAGGAGCUACUUAAAAAAGUUAUGGAAAAGCUUUUAGAAGCUCAAAUUCAUGAAGAACCAAAGCUUUGAAGUCCUUUUCCAUAAGCAAAUCGGGAAUGCAAGGAGGGAAAGCAAAGAGAAAUCUGCCAUGAAGCAUUCUUGAUGACAGUAUGUCAGCCACUUUUGGAGAACUUCCCGAAGUCCAUUUUGUACAUUCUAUAUACCAUUUUAAAGCUCAGGAAGUCAACAAUCCAAUGCUUUAAACGGUGCGCAAUUUGGAGUUGAAACGAAGAAGUUACAACCACUGCAAGUCAAUCACUCUAAGUUGAAGAAAGCAUUUUGCAAAAGUGUUGCAGAAUCACCCUUUUGUUGCGAAAUGAUUUCGCAGCCUUUUUGUACAGUGUUGUGGAUUCCCUCCUGAAGUUGCCCGAUAUAUGCCGCAAAUUGGAAGCUGAGCACCUCAAGAUGAAAGCCAACUUCGCAGCCCUGCGAGAAUAACCUUUUGCUGCGAAGUGAUUUCGCAGCCCUUUUUGUGCAUCUGCGAAAUCUCGCAGACCUUGUUUUCACCUGCGAAAUGGUCCUUAGUGCUUCCCGAUAUUUGUGCACCGACUCUUUUAGAUCUUUUCUUCAGAUAUUUUUGUAUAAAUUUCCAUUCUUCUCCUUGUAAUCCACCAACCAUAAGAUUUCUUAGUUAGGAAGGUUGGAAAAAGUCUCUAUAUAUAUUCCCUUGCAUCCACUGUAAUAGAAUCAUGUAAUCGAUCAAUAGAUAUAGAUAUAUCAUAUAUAGAAUCAACGAACAGAGCACUUGCUCUGUUUUUCAUAUAUAUUCUUGUUUUCUCGUUAGUUUUCUUUCUAGCCAACCAAACUCUGAGGAUUUUUCCUAAGAGGAUGAGAGGCUAAGCUUUUUUGUCUCUUGGAGUAAGGAAAGCCAGGUAAGUUUCCACAUGUAUAAUUUGGAAGUUUUGUUGUUUUAGUUUUUAAUGAAGAGAAAGUGUAACCCGUUAAUGGUUUUUAUUUUUUUAGUUAACUUAAAACGCCUUUAAAUCACCUGGGCCAACACUUGGUAAGGCAAGUGAUCUCCAACCAUGGAGAUGCACUAGUUUACCCCUUGCGAGCCUCUGGGAGGUGACUUGAAGGUAGGAUUUUCUAGAAUAGCCAACACUUGGUAAGCUUUUGGACUCCAAGGAGACAUCCAUUAGUUAUCUCUUGCGAGCUUUUGACGGGUAAUCCAAGGUUAAAGAUCACCUUGAAUGGCAAGUGCUAGGUGAGAGGCAUGAGCCAUUGCAAGAUGCAUCAGUGAGAGGGAUUUAGUGUUUGAACCCAUUAAUGGGAAGCAUCUGUACAACACUGGUUAGAGAAGGAACUAUAUGUUAAUUCUCUAAUGCGAGGAAAAGAAAUAAGUGACCGGAACUCCCUUUUUGUAUGAGGAACCUGAGCCUAGUGAUCUGAACUCCAAGAAACACUUUUCUUUGUAAGUAAAAUCAGUUACUAUUUUUGGUUAGUUUAAAUCUAAACCUUUUUCAUUCAAACAUCUUUAUGUUUUCUUUUAAAGCUAACCUUGAAAUGAAAAGGCACCAAUUCAACUUUGAAUUAAUAUCAUUUGUGAAGUGAAAACCCAUCCCAGUGAACGAUCCUAGAGCCACUAUGCUAUAGUAGCUUUGUCUUUGCUACCCUAGUAUAUGGUGUAAUAGGUUAUAAAUUUUGUUAAUUACUCCCUCAAUCAAGGAGCACCAGCUGGACACGAAUCAGCUGAGACACCAAUUGGGCACGAAUCAUUGGUGUUCACCACCUUCAUCAAGAUGUUCUUAAUUUCCCGGUUGGCUAGCUCUACUUGGCCACUCGUCAGAGGAUGAUAAGGUGUAGCUACCUUAUGCUUAAUUCCGUACUUGGCCAAAAGAGCUUCAAAGGGCUUGUUGCAAAAGUGAGUGCCUCCAUCACUGAUGAUUGCUUUAGGCACUCCAAACCUCGAGAAGAUGUUUUCUUUUAGGAACUUGAGAACCACUUUGUGAUCAUUGGUUCUACAGGGUAUAACUUCAACCCACUUUGAAACAUAAUCAACUCCUACCAAGAUGUAGGAGUGGCCAAAAGACAUAGGGAAAGGUCCCAUGAAGUUUAUGCCCCAAACAUAAAAAAAAUCCACUAUCAAGAUGGGGUUCAAAGGCAUCAUGUUUCUCCUUGAAAGCUUGCCUAGUCUUUGGCACUUAUCACAUCCUUUACUUACCUCAUGGGCAUCCUUAAAAAGUGAGGGCCACCAAAAGCCCGAUUGAAGAACUCUCAUUGCCGUCUUUUGAGAGGCAAAGUGGCCUCCACAUGCAUUCCCAUGGCAAUGAGAUAGGAUCCCAUACUUCUCUUGUUCAGGCACACACUUCCUUAUAAUUUGGUCCGCACAAUACUUGAAGAGAAAAGGCUCCUCCCAAUAAUAUGCAUGGACCUUGGCAAAGAAAUUCUUCUUGUCCUGAGAGCUCCAUUCACUUGGUAUUUCCCCCGUGACCAAGUAAUUGGCAAUGUGUGCAAACCAUGGCACUUCCUCCACAAGCAUCAAGGAUUCCUCAGGGAAAUCAUCAUUUAUGGGAAGUCCAUGGGUGUCAUGAGCGAUGUUGAGCCUUGACAAGUGGUUAGCUACCACAUUCUCAACACCUUUCUUAUCUCUGAUCUGGAGGUUGAACUCUUGAAGCAAAAGUAUCCACCUAAUCAACCUAGCCUUGGCAUCUUGCUUGGUUAGCAAAUACUUCAAAGCUGAAUGAUUCGUGAAUACCACAAUGGAAGACCCUAUCAAAUAAGCUCUGAACUUAUCCAAAGCAUACACCACAACAAGUAAUUCCUUCUUAGUGGUGGUGUAAUUCCUUUGAGCAUCAUUCAAAGACUUGCUUGCAUAGUAGAUCACAUAAGGUUUACCAUCUUCUCUUUGUCCCAAAACAGCCCCAAUGGCAUAAUCAUUUGAGUCACAUCACUUCAAAUGGCAACUCCCAAUUUGGUGCUCUCACAAUGGGCGCUGAUGUCAAGAAUUGCUUAAGAAGCUCAAAACUCCUUUGACAUUUAUCAUCCCACUCAAACUUGGCAUCCUUCACCAAUAAUUCACAAAGAGGUUUGGCAAUCUUGGAAAAAUCCUUUAUAAACCUCCUAUAGAACCCGACAUGCCCAAGGAAUUGCCUUAUUCCUUUUACAUUGGUGGGAGGUGGAAACUUCACAAUUAGUUCCACCUUAGCUCUAUCUACCUCUAUACCCUUCUUUGAGAUUACGUGCCCAAGAACAAUACCUUGAUUUACCAUAAAAUGUCACUUCUCCCAAUUGAGUACGAGGUCUUUCUCUAUGCAUCUUUUCAAAACAUCUUCAAGAUGUGACAAACAAUCCUCAAAAGAAGUCCCAUACACAGUUAUGUCAUCCAUGAAGACUUCCAUGAUUCGUUCAACCAUGUCACUGAAGAUGCUAAGCAUGCAUCUUUGGAAGGUAGCAGGAGCGUUGCAUAAUCCAAAAGGAUAGGUGCCGAAUGGACAAGUGAAGGUAGUCUUCUCCUGGUCCUCCACAUCAAUCUCUAUUUGAAAAUACUCGGAAUACCCAUCCAAGAAGCAAUAAAAAGGAUGCCCAGAUACUCUCUCAAGGACUUGAUCCAUGAAAGGUAAAGGGAAGUGAUCCUUUCUUGUUAAUGUGUUCAACUUCCUAUAGUCAAUGCACACCCUCCAACCAGUUGUGAGGCGUGUGGACACUUCAUCUCCAUUUUCCCCCUUGACUACGGUUAUCCCGGACUUCUUUGGAACAAUUUGGGCUGGACUUACCCAAGUGCUAUCUAAAAUGGGGUAAAUGAUGCCCGCUUGAAGAAGCUUCAACACUUCAGCCCUUACUACCUCUUGCAUAUGAGGAUUCAAUCUCCUCUGUGGCUGAUGAGUUGGCUUAGCUCCCUCCUCCAUAUAAACAUGGUGCGUGCAAAUCAAUGGGCUUAUCCCCUUCAAAUCAGAAAUUUUCCAUCCGAUGGCCUUCUUGUGCUUUCUAAGGAUUCUUAGAAGAUUGUCCUCUUGUGAAACGGUUAAAGAAGAAGAAAUUACCACCGAGGCUUUAUUGCCUUCCUCCAAGUAAGCAUACUUCAACUUGGCAGGAAGGGUCUUCAAUUUAAGCUUAAGGAUUACAUCCUUAGCUUCUUUCAUCUCUUCCUCAUCCUUGAACAAAGGGAGGAUCACUGGCUUUUGUCUCCAGUUUGACAUAACGACAUUCAUUCCCAUGGGUUCAGCUAACCCAUCAUCAAGAUCUUCAUGGCUUUCAUCUGGAUUCUCUUCAAACUGAUCAAGCAUACUCUGAUUACAAUGCUCCUCCACCAGGGUAUCUAUCAUACACACUUCUUCUGGGCCCUCAUCUUCUUCAGGAUCGAUGUGCUUUUGACAUAGAUGGAAGAUGUUGAGUUCUAAUGUCAAAUUCCCAAAAGUGAGUUGCUUACCCCAUUCCUACAAUUGAUGAUUGCAUUGGAUGUUGCAAGGAAUGGUCUUCCAAGGAUGAUUGGAACAUAGUUGAUCCCUUUGACAAUGGGAUCCGUAUCAAGCACCACAAAAUCUACUGGAUAGUAGAAUUUGUCAACUUGAACCAAUACAUCCUCUAUUACCUCCCUGGGGAUUUUCACUGAUCGGUCAGCUAAGGAUAGGGUGAUCGAUGUUGGCUUGAGUUCUCCCAACCCUAGCUCCUUGUAUACAGAGUAUGGAAGCAAAUUAACACUUGCCCCCAAAUCAAGCAAUGCCUUCUCCACUUGGGUUCCUCCAAUAUUGACUGAGAUUGUAGGACACCCCGGAUCUUUGUAUUUGAUUGGAGACUUGCAUUGGAUUAUAGCAUUCACUUGCUCGGUUAGGAAGGCUUGCUUUGUAACAUUGAGUCCUCUUUUCAUAGUGCACAAGUCCUUAAAAAACUUUGCAUAUGUGGGUACUUGCUUGAUCAUAUCAAGUAAAGGAAUAUUCACCUUCACUUGUCUUAGCACAUCAAGAAUCUCAUAAGCAUUCUUGAUCGGUUUCUUCCCACGCAAGGCUUGAGGAAAUGGAGGAGGCAUGUGCUUCUUCAUCAUGUCUUCCUUUAAAAGAAUUUGAGGUUCCUCAUCCAUGCUAGGAAUGAUGCUUUCUUUCAUCUGAACUUUCUUUCCCUUUUGUUCUUUCUUCUUUUCUUCUUUUCUAUUAGCCUUGUUUUCUUUGGCUUUCCUCUGAUCAUGCUCCGGCUGAUGCACUUCCUUACCACUUCUCAAAGUGAUAAUAGCUUGCACGUCCCUCACAUUUGAAGAAUCCUCAUCUUUGGAUUCCACUUCAUGUAUCCCCUUAGGAUUUUGGUGAGGCUGAGAGGGAAACUUCCCUUUCUCAUUGACAGUGUUCAAAUUUGUGAGCCUUGAGAUGGAAUAUUGGAUGUUGUCAAUUUUCUGAGACAACUCAUUAUGCAUCCCAUCUAUCUUCUUGUUCAAUGUACUCUCUACGUUGUUAAUCUUCUGAUUUAGUUGAGAGUUGAUGGAUUUUUGCUCACUCACAAAGUCACCCAUAACCUUGCUAAGGCUUAUGAGUGCUUGCUCAACUGAGGAUUGACCUUGACUUUGUUGGCUUGAUUGGGCUGGUGACUGAUAUGGGUUUGGCCUUGGCUUCCAUGCAAAGUUUGGGUGGUUCCUCCAGCUAGAGUUGUACGUGUUGCCAUAGGGAGCAUUUGAAUUUGGAUUCCAUUGGCCAAUCAGGUUAGCUUGUUCCCCGAACAUUUCUCUUGUUGCUGGAAUGGUGGGACAUUCUUUCACCAUAUGUUCAAAUGACUGACAGAUGGAGCAAGGAUUGGCUUGUUGUUGAGGUUCUGAAAUAGCUUGGACUUCAUGAACUUUUCUCAACUCCAUUUCCUCUAUUUUUUUAGCCAUGACAGCUACCUUGGCUUUCAUCUCCAUGUCUUCACUCAGAUUGUACAUCCCCCCUCUUGACAUUUGUUGAACUGGCCUUUUCCCUAUUUCUCUGUUAUUGGGCUCAUCCCAUCCAUGGGAAACCUCUGAAACAUAACUUAGGAAAUCCAUAGCCUCCUCAGGGUUCUUGCUCAUGAAAUCGCCCCCACACAUUGUCUCCAAUAUCUGCUUCAUUGAAGAUGACAUGCCAUCAUAAAAAUAGCUCACCAAAAGCCAUGUAUCAAAGUCGUGGUGAGGACAUGCAUUGAUGGCCUCCAUAUACCUCUCCUAGCAUUCAUAAAAUUUUUCAUUCUCACGUGUUGAGAAGUUGGAGAUUUGUCUCCUCAAUCCAUUUGUUCUGUGAGUAGGGAAAAACUUCUUCAAAAAAUCAGCUUGAAGUUCUGUCCGUGUUCUUAUGCUUCUCGGCCUCAAGGAAUUGAGCCAUAUUGAUUCGCGUAUGUAAAUCCAGUCGGGUCAUUUAAUAAAAAACAUUUAUAAAACCUAUGACCUCAUACUAGUGUAGCAAAGCUACAAUAGUAUAGUGGCUUUAGGGUCGAACUCUGGGAUGGGUUUUCAUUCUACUAGUGAUAUACUCAUGAUUAGGAAUUGAAUUUAAUGAUUUCCUUUAUAAAAAACUUAGAGUUUAAAAGAAAAUAAAAUUUGUUUUGAAAGUGUUUGAAACUAAAUUAACAUAAACUAAUUAAAAAUGGAAGAAAGAAAGUCUCCCGGAGCUCAGGAUUGCUAGGAUCAAGUUUAGAAUGCAAAGUGGAAAAUUCCGGAUUUUUCUCCUCGCAUUGGGGAUUUAACCUAUAGUUAUUUCCCGAACCGGUAUAGGUUUAACAAUGAAGAUUUAAUCCAUAAAAAUUAAUAGAAAUAGUAGUCAAGGUCCAUUAAUGGCUUUAGACACUAUGGGUCUUCACCUUGAACCACUUUCCAAUGGCUCGUACAUGAUAACUAAUGGACUGAUAUGGAUCUAGCAAUAAGCAUCCACAGAGACCUGAAGCUUACCAUGUAUUGGCCAUUCAAAGUGAUUCUAAGGGAUUUAAAGCAAAACUUUGGAUUUAAAAGCCAUUUAUGAACUUCAACUACUUGUAUUUAAGGCACGAGCGUUUUCCACCUUGCAUAUGGACUUUUCACCUAGCUUCCAUCACUCCAAGAAACCAAAAGUUUAGCCUCUCAUCCUUUGAGAAAACAUCCUCAGAGGUUGUUUGGCUUCCAAGAAAAAGAAAAUAGUAAAGAGAAAAGGGAAAACGAGAGAGCUCUGUAUAUUUUCUAAGUGUAAAACAUAACACGCGUGUUACCUCCAAGAGGUGAUUUCCACCCCUUAUAUAGUUUUUACAAAAGCAAAGCUUGUGAUUGGCUUGUUACAAGGAGAAGAAAGGAAAUUACAUCAAAAAAUAUAAAAGAAAAUAUCUAAAGUGGAGUCGGAAAAAACAGAGGAAAAUUCGCACCACGCAUGGGGCGUGCGAAUUUUCGCACACCUGAGGGGGGUGUGCGAGUUUCGCGCACCAUUCGCACACCAUUUGCACACCUGGAGCAGUUUUCUUCCGAAGGCCAUAUCUUCCUCGUUUCAGCUCCAAAUUGUACACAGUUUGAAGCGUUGGAUUCUUGACUUCCUGAGCUUUGAAAUGGUAUAUAGCAUGUAAAAAAUGGACUUUGGGAAGUGCUCCAAAAGUGCCAAAGAAGACUGCAGUUGCUGUCCUCUGUUUUCCUCCUUGCUUCUCUUUGCUUCUCUUUGGUUUUCUUUGCUUUUCUCCUUUGGAUGGCUUGUCUUAAUGAUCUAAAAAGAUGUUAAAAACACUAAAACUAGCCACAAAUAUGAUUAGGAGUCAUUGCUAGGUCCUUAACAUGCCAAUUGGAAUAAAGAUGAAGAAUUACUACACAAAAGUGCUUAAAACAUAAUGACUUAAAGGUGUAAAAUAACACUUUUUGGGUAGUAAUCACUCCCCCCAACUGACACAUUGCUAGUCCCUAAGCAAUGAAGGAGAGAAAAAGAAAGAAAAAUAGAUAAUAAAAUAAUUUACAAAAUCAUGCUGAUUACUCCAAAAAAUAAUCAAGUGGCAUGAUUGGAUCAAACUCUCACAUGGCAAGUCAAGGAUAUAAAACUCAAUCAUCAACAAGAGUUAUCAAAUAACUUACCUAUCACAACUUGCAAAGAGCGGGCAUUAUGCAAAUUUGAGUAUCAAAAUAAUUUCCACCCCCAACGGAUCAAUUCUUAAUCUUCCACAAAAAUCUAAGUGUUAAGGUGCUUAGUUUCCAGUUAUAGUAUGUCAAACUAUAUUCUCCCCCCCAACUAAGGUUUUUCUCUAACUUUAGCAACACUAACUCAUAUAUAAAAGGCUAAGAACGCACCUUUUUUUUUUUUUUUGACUUUUUUUUUUUUUAAGGUACUCCACCCAUCCACCCAUGUAAUGAGCAGUGAGGUCGGUGACUCCCAACCAGUAAAGGCUUAGGGCACCAGGCUUUAAAGAUUUUCACCAUAUACCCCUCGGACCUUGCUUGGGUUUCAAAGCAAGUGAAGCAAAAAUUAUUCAUAAGACACAUUGGCCUUUUAUAAGGUGUCCCAACACUAAUAGAAUGAAGUCAAUGGCACCAAGUCGAAAAUUUCCUAAGUUUAGGGGGGUGAGAAAGUUUUCCAUCUUAUAACUGGAAUCUAAUGUGUUCAGUGUGUGAAAAGAUUAGAGUGGAAGACUUAAGAUUGAAAUCAAAAGGAUCUUCAACAAUUUAUCAACUUUAAUAAGCAUAAUACAAACUCUGAGACUAUGGCAAUAAGAUAAGAAUUUAAUUUCUCCCAUUUACUUUUGAGAAUUUAUCUUUGAGAAAACAAAGAGAGUUUGCAAAAAAAUUUGUUAGCAAAAUAACUUAACCAAAAAUUCAACAAAUUACUUCCUCAACUCUCCCCCCAACUAGGAUGAACAUUGUCCCCAAUGUUCCAAAAACAAGAGAUAAUAAAAGGGAGGAAGUGAUACCUCCUGAUAGUAAGGGAGUCUGAAUGAACAGGAGAAACCACAUGUUGCAUAAGAAAAGAAAAAUCAUAAGAUUGAUGAAUAGAGGAAAUAAAAUGGAAUAGCUAAAAUACACAAAAAAGAAGAUGUCUAUAUAAACUGAGAGAGUACAAUAUACAAGAUAAACAUGAAAUACAUCCAAUCCCAGUAUAAAAGUGGUCCAAAAUAUAUAAGACAUCCAAAAACGUAGCAUAUAGAUACAAAAAAAAAAAAAGGGAGAGGAGUGAUCGUAUGAUCAAGUAGUAGGCUCCUCUGGUGGAUAGGAGGGGUCCUUCGCUGCAACUGUGGAAGGAACCGCUACAGGUGGAGCUAGUGGUGAAAGACCGAGGUGGUGCUGAAUCUCACGGAGAAUGAGAGUCUGCUGGUCCUACUGAAGCUGGAAGUGGUCCAUCCGCUCCAUAGUGGCCGUCUGAGUAGUGGUCAAAGUCUGGAAAGAAGCGAGCAAGGCACGAUACUCUGGACCAGGGAUAGUAAUGGGCGGCUCUGAUGUAGGAGGAACAAAAGGUGGGGCAUCAGAUGAUGCUGCCUCCAGUACUGGCUGUGGAGGGUCUGAAGUGGAUGGAGCAGGAGGGACUUCCCUUGGCUCGGGAAGUUCUGGGGACUGGCGAUGGAGCUAUAUCUGAGUCCAUUGGUCAAGAGAGAAGCUCUCUCGACAAUGGCGGCGGGGCUCUGAACGAGGGUCUGCAGGAAAACCCAUAUGCGCCAAAACAUGGCAUAGCAGCCGAGGGAAAAGUAAAGACAUGGAGUCUGCCCUCGCAAGACGCCGCGUAUGCACCUUCUCCUCAAAAUGGAGGAGAGCGGCCAUAAUCAAAUGAUGGGGGCCAAAAUAGUAGCCCUCAGAGAUACGGAAUAAUGCCUCCAUAAUGGCCCCUCGUCUCUGCACUUUAUGCUGAAGAGGAAAAAGAUUGGCGCGAAGCACCACAUCAACUAGGAGCAUCUCUAGGGGAAGCUCUCUCCUCAAAAUGGUCCUCUGGGAAGAUGUCCCUUGAGAUAGGAUACGAACCAUGUCCCACUCAGAAAGUGGGGCCCAACGUCUAAAUGUAGCGGGAUCUGCUGGUGCAAAAGGGAUAUGGAAGGCAUCAGCAAUCUGUCUAGCCCCCAAAAUACCCUGGCGUCCAUCAAUGGUAAAAAGGAUCGAGGCUGGUACCGGGACGCCACGAGUAGUCAUAGACUGGUAAAAGUCUAAAGCUACUUGAGGAUAAAAGAACUGGGGUAGAGUCAUAAAGGGUAUAAGAUGGUACCUCUCAAGUAGGCGGUAUGAAUCCCGCAACUCAGGCUGCUGUCGCAUAAGAGAGUGAUCAAAAUAUGCCUCGACAUGAAAAUCUCUCGAUCGGCAAUCGGAGUUGCCCUCAAUGGGCAAGCUGGGUCUAGGGCGCCUGGCGGAAGAAGGCUGAGACUGUGAAUCCCGAGGUGCUCUGGAGGACUCUCCUAGCUCUGAAGUCUUGGCUUUCUUUGUAGGAGGACUCCGAGGUGGAAUUUGUGGAGGGGCCACAGACGUGGCAGAUGCUCUCCUCGUAUGGUAUCUGCUUUGAGGGGCAGAAUCAGGUAAAUGUGAGGGUGCAUCUAGUGGGGCCCGCACAGGGGCGGCUCUUUGACUGCUCUAGGGAGCUAUGGUAGAUCCUUCUCGGGUCUUAGGCAUGAUGAAGCGAUGAAAUGAGGCUCAGAGGUUUGGGAUUAGGGAAGGUAGGGAUGGAAAAGCUGAAAUUUUCGCACAAGGGAGGUGGGGGGGGGGGGNNNNNNNNNNNNNNNNNNNNNNNNNNNNNNNNNNNNNNNNNNNNNNNNNNNNNNNNNNNNNNNNNNNNNNNNNNNNNNNNNNNNNNNNNNNNNNNNNNNNAAUCCCAAACCUUGUUCUUACCAAACCAAAGCCUAAACCAUAAAGCAUUCAAGCCACGGUUUCUUCAUAAGAAACCCAUUGCCGCCGGCCAUGGGAGCUCCCAAUCUUCAAUUUUCCUCUUGAAAAGCUCCAAUUUCCAAGCCUAUUCACUAUGACAAAUCUUUUUCAUACCUAAGCCAACUUUUCCCCCCCUCAAAGGCCACAAAUUUUCACCAUCUCAAACAAGCCACAAUUCUUCAAACGUGCGGGGGGGUGGGGGGGUGUGCGAAAUUUUCGCACAGGGUACUAUUCACCCGCACGUUUGAAGAAUUGUGGCUUGUUUGAGAUGGUGAAAAUUUGUGGCCUUUGAGGGGGGGAAAAGUUGGCUUAGGUAUGAAAAAGAUUUGUCAUAGUGAAUAGGCUUGGAAAUUGGAGCUUUUCAAGAGGAAAAUUGAAGAUUGGGAGCUCCCAUGGCCGGCGGCAAUGGGUUUCUUAUGAAGAAACCAUGGCUUGAAUGCUUAUGGUUUAGGCUUUGGUUUGGUAAGAACAAGGUUUGGGAUUGGAUUGUGGAUGGAUUUAGAGGGUUGGGUGAAGAUUUGAAAGGAUUUUGAUGGUGGAAGGAGGUGAAAUUGCCGAAAAUGGGAAGUGGUGAAUAGUGAAUGCGCGGCUAUGGAAUGGAGCUAUGGAGAUGGGCUGCCAUGGUGGUGUUGAUGAUGAGGAAUGAUGAAGAAGAGGAGCUUUAUGGAUGGAAAUGGGUGAUCGGAAGAGAGGUUUUGAGAGAAUUGAAGAAGAAGCUAAGACUUUGAAGUGGAGAACAUAGCUUUAAAAGAGAAAAAUGAAUUUCGCACAGGGGAAAAUGGUGUGCGAAAUUUUCGCAUACCUGUGAUUCUCCAAGACAGAGAGCAUGGUUUUGAAAAUUGGUGCAAAAAAAGAAUUCGCACAGGGUUCGCACAAAGUACACAUUCCUGUGAAAUUCGCACAAGGGACCGAGAUCAUGCAAUUUUUGAAAAGUGGUGCAAAAGCAAAUUCGCACAGGGUAAGUGGUGUGCGAAAUUUUCGCACACCACAAGGGGGUGUGCGAAUUUUGCUGAGUCUUGUCUUUUCUCCCCUGUUUUCCCUUGUUUUCACCAAGACUUCAUUCUUCAAGCCUUCCUACCUACAUGUUAACACAAAAAAUAGAAAUCAAACCACAUUAGAAUGAAAUUAAAGUCAAAAAUAGAAAUCAAAACAUGCAUAAACACAAGAAAACAUUAGAUUAAACUAAAAUCAACUUAAAAGAGAACAAAAAGAGGAUGAAUUUUUUAGUCUUUGGAGAUACUAAGUUCAACCAUGAACCAAGUGUUUUCAUGUUGGAGGUGGAUCAAGGAGGAUGAAUUCCUCCUUGUCUUGGGAAAAAGAUUCGAUAUAGGGCUUGAGACGAUGCCCAUUAACUUUGAAAGUUCGAGUGCUAUUGAAGUUGAGUAGUUCCACUACUCCAUUUGGUUGCACUUCAUGAAUUAUGAAAGGACCCGUCCAUCUUGAUUUCAAUUUUCCCGGAAAAAAAUGAAGCUUAGAGUCAUAAAGCAAGACUCUUUGCCCCUUGGCAAAAUUCUUUUGAUUUACCAAUUGAUCAUGCCAUUUCUUCAACCUCUCCUUUGCAAUUUUUGAAUUGAGGUAAGCAUCAUUCCUCAUUUCCUCCAAUUCAUUCAAAUCCAAACAUCUUUUCAACCCGGCUCUUAUCAAAUCCAUGUUGAGUUUUUUGAUUGCCCACCAUGCUUUGUAUUCAAUCUCCACUGGAAGAUGACACACUUUGCCAUAAACAAGGCGAUAAGGAGACAUUCCAAGAAUGGUCUUGUAAGCGGUCCUAUACGCCCAUAAGGAAUCUAGGAGCUUAAUAGACCAAUCCUUCCUAUUCACAUUCACCACCUUCAUUAAUAUAUUCUUGAUCUCCCGGUUGGCUAACUCAACUUGGCCACUUGUUUGAGGGUGAUAAGGUGUAGCUACCUUGUGCUUAACCCCAUAUUUGGCUAGAAGAGUCUCAAAAGGUUUAUUGCAAAAGCGGGUUCCUCCAUCACUUAUAAUGGCCUUAGGCACUCCAAAUCUUGCAAAGAUGUUAUCCUUGAGGAAUUUAAGAACCACCCUAUGAUCAUUGCUCCUACAUGGGAUUGCUUCAACCCACUUAGAGACAUAAUCCAUCCCACCAAAAUGUAGGAAUGUCCAAAUGACAUUGGAAAUGGUCCCAUGAAGUCUAUCCCCCAAACAUCAAAGACAUCCACUAUCAAAAUGGGGUUCAAGGGCAUCAUAUUUCGGCGUGUAAGCUUACCAAGCCUUUGACACCGAUCACAUCCCUUGCACAUAGAGUGGGCAUCCUUGAAAAGAGAGGGCCACCAAAACCCUGAUUGGAUCACUUUCAUAGCUGUUUUCUAGGAGGCAAAAUGACCUCCACAUGCACUAUCAUGGCAAUGGGAAAGAAUUCCUGAUUGCUCUUGUUCAGGAACACAUUUCCUUAUGAUUUGAUCCGCACAAUAUUUGAAGAGAAAAGGCUCCUCCCAAUAAUAGGCAUGGAUCUUAGCAAAGAAAUGCCUCUUGUCUUGGGCACUCCACUCGCUUGGAACUUCCCCAGUAACCAAGUAAUUUGCAAUGUGAGAAUACCAAGGAGCUACAUCUAUUGACAUGAGAGACUCCUCAGGGAAGUCAUCAUUGAUAGGCAGACCAUGUGAGUCAUGUGCUAUCACAAGUCUUGACAAAUGGUCAGCUACCACAUUUUCUACUCCCUUUUUAUCCCGUAUUUGGAGAUUGAAUUCUUGGAGCAAAAGGAUCCAUCUUAUCAAUCUUGCCUUGGCAUCUUGCUUGGUUAGCAAGUACUUCAAAGUGGAAUGGUCAGUGAACACCACUAUAGAGGACCCUACUAAAUAGGCACGAAACUUAUCCAAGGCAAAAACUACUGCCAAUAACUCCUUCUCAGUAGUUGUGUAGUUCCUUUGAGCCUCAUUCAAAGUUUUGCUCGCGUAAUAAAUCACAUAAGGCUUUCCAUCCUCUCUUUGCCCCAAAACAACCCCCAUAGCAAGAUCACUUGCAUCACACAUUACCUCAAAACGUAAUUUCCAAUUUGGGCUCUCACUAUUGGUGCAGUUGUGAGGAAUUACUUCAAUUCCUCAAAACUCUUCUGACACUUCUCAUCCCACACAAACUUGGCAUCCUUUACCAAGAGUUCACAAAGAGGCUUUGAGAUUUUUGAGAAAUCCUUAAUGAACCUCCUAUAGAACCCGGCAUGUCCUAGGAAUUGCCUAAUUCCUUUAACAUUUGUGGGAGGUGGCAACUUAACAAUUAGCUCCACCUUUGCCUUGUCUACCUCAAUGCCAUUUUUGGAGAUUACAUGUCCUAAGACAAUGCCUUGUUGUACCAUAAAAUGAAACUUCUCCCAAUUUAGCACUAGGUCUUUCUCAAUACAUCUGUGGAGAACAGUUUCUAAGUGCAACAAACACUCCUCAAAAGAACUUCCAUAUACAGUGAUGUCAUCCAUGAAGACUUCCAUGAUGCGUUCCACCAUAUCACUGAAGAUGCUUAGCAUACAUCUUUGGAAAGUUGCAGGAGCAUUACAUAAACCAAAGGGCAUUCUCCUAUAUGCAAAAGUACCAAAGGGGCAUGUGAAGGUUGUUUUUUCUUGAUCUUCCAAAUCAAUCUCUAUUUGGAAGUACCCCGAGUAACCAUCUAGAAAACAGUAGAAAGGAUGUCCUGAGACUCUCUCAAGGACUUGGUCCAUGAAAGGCAAUGGGAAAUGGUCCUUCCUAGUCACUGAAUUCAACCUCCUGUAGUCUAUACACACCCUCCAUCCUGAGGUAGGACGUGUAGAGACUUCCUCCCCUUUCUCAUUCUGGAUCAUAGUGAUUCCAGAUUUCUUUGGAACUACUUGGGUGGGGCUCACCCACAAGCUAUCUGAAAUGGGAUAUAUGAUCCCUGCUUGUAGUAGCUUCAGAACUUCACCCCUCACCACCUCUUGCAUGUAAGGAUUCAACCUCCUCUGGGGCUGCCUCACUAGUUUUGCAUCUUUCUCCAUGUAGAUAUGGUGGGUGCACACCAAAGGAUUAAUCCUUUUCAAAUCAGAAAUUUGCCAUCCAAUGACUUUCUUGCAUUUUCUGAGGACUCCCAAAAGACUAUCCUCUUGAUCACUUGUGAGAUUUGAAGAGACCACCACUGGACAUUUCUCAUCUUCCUCCAAGUAUGCAUACUUCAAAUCAACAGGAAGUGGCUUCAAAACAAGCUUUGGAGGGUCCUCCAUACCUGCUCCUUGUGAGUCCUCCUUAUUGAACAGUGGUAAGAUCUCUUCCCGUCUCCUCCAAGGAGACAUGAUAGCUAGCACAUCAGAGGGUUCAGGUAACCCUUCUUCAAACACUUCAAGGCUUUCAUUCAAGCUCUCUUCUAAGCUUUUGUCACAAUGCUCUUCAACCAAGGUGUUGAUCAGGCACACCUCCUCCAAUCCUUCAUCCUCAUCUGGGUGAAGAUGCCUCUUGCAAAGAUGGAAUAUAUUUAAUUCCAAGGUCAUGUUUCCAAAUGUGAGUUGCAUCACCCCAUUUCUACAAUUGAUGAUGGCAUUGGAGGUAGCCAGGAAAGGUCUCCCAAGGAUGAUUGGCACGUAAUUGGCUUCCUUAACAGUGGGAUCAGUAUUAAGCACAACAAAAUCCACGGGAUAGUAGAAUUUGUCCACUUGAACUAGAACAUCCUCUAUCACCCCCCUUGGGAUUUUGACAGACCUAUCAGCUAAGGAGAGAGUGAUGGCUGUGGGCUUCAAUCCUCCAAGUCCCAGUUUCUUGUACACAGAGUAUGGGAGCAAAUUCACACUUGCCCCCAAGUCUAGUAAAGCUUUCUCCACAAGUGUCCCUCCAAUGUUGACUGCAAUGGUGGGGCAACCUGGAUCUUUAUACUUAACUGGAGACUUACUCUGAAUGAUAGCACUUACUUGCUCAGUGAGGAAUGCAUUCUUUGUCACAUGUAGCCCUCUCUUAACCGUGCACAAGUCCUUUAGAAACUUUGCAUAUGUGGGGACUUGCUUGAUCAUAUCAAGUAAGGGUAUAUUCACCUUCACUUGUCUCAAGACUUCAAGAAUUUCUGAUGAAUUCUUGAUCUCCUUCUUUCCAUGUAAAGCUUGAGGAAAAGGGGGAGGCAUAUGUUUCUUCAUCAUAUCUUCUUUAAUCACUAUCCUCGGCUCUUCUUCAAUGCUUGAUUUGGAUGCACUUUUCUUCCCACUCUCCUCUUCUUGGUUAUUGCUCUCUUUAACCAAGGUUUUCUUUGACAAGAGUUCUUCAUCUUGCCUCACCUUAGGCAAGGGUUGAUCAACCUCCUUUCCACUCCUCAAGGUGAUCACAGCUUUGACCUCCCUCAACUUUGAAGAAUCCCCCUCUUGCGUUUCAACUUCAUGAACACCCUUAGGAUUUUGGCUUGGUUGAGAGGGGAACUUUCCUUUCUCAUUCACUGUGUUGAGGUUGGUAAGCCUAGAGAUGGAGUAUUGAAUAUUAUCUAUCUUCUGAUAUAGAUCAUUUUGCAUCCCAUCCAUUCUCUUAUUUAGAGAACUCUCAACAUUCUCAAUCUUUUGGUGCAAUUGGGAGUUGAUUGCCCUUUGUUCACCCACAAAGUCAUUCAUGACUUUACUUAGGUUCGCAAUGGCUUACUCCACUGAAGAGGUUUGUUGAGGUGCUUGAGUUUGGGCUUGCGGUUGGUAUGGAGGUGGUCUUGGUUUCCAAGAAAAAUUUGGAUGGUUUCUCCAGCUUGAAUUAUAGGUGUUUCCAUAAGGUGCAUUGUUGUUAGGCCUAAAUUGCCCCACAACAUUGGCUUGAUCACCUAACAUCUCCCUCACAACUGGCAUGGUUGGGCACUCAUCUACCACAUGAUCACAUGAUUGGCAAAUGGUGCAUGGCAUGGCAUAGGCUUGAGUCUCGGAAAUGGCUUGGACUUCAUGCAUCUUUUUCAACUCAAGUUCUUCCAACCUCCUUGCUAUUGUUGCCACCUUAGCUUUCAUGUCCAUGUCUUCACUUAACAUGUACAUUCCACCCUUUGGAUUUACAGGAGCUUUCAUCCUUCCCAAUUCCUUUGAGUUGGGCUCAUCCCAUCCUCUUGUUACCUCAGAUACAUAACUUAAAAAAUCCAUGGCUUCUUCCGGAUUCUUACUCAUAAAAUCUCCCCCACACAUGGUUUCAAGAAUUUGCUUCAUGGAGGAAGACAUCCCAUCAUAGAAAUAGCUCACCAAGAGCCAUGUAUCAAAGCCAUGAUGAGGAUAAGCAUUGAUGGCCUCCAUAUACCUUUCCCAACAUUCAUGGAACUUCUCAUUUUCUUUUGCAGAAAAGUUUGAGAUUUGUCUCUUCAACCCAUUGGUCCUAUGGGUGGGGAAAAAUUUCUUCAAAAACUCGACCUGAAGAUCAACCCAAUUCCUUAUGCUCCUUGGCCUUAAAUAAUUAAGCCAUAUUUUUGCCUUGUCCUUCAAAGUGAAAGGGAAUAGCUUGAGUCUCAUCAAGUCUAUUGAAGCUCCUCCCUCUCUAAAGGUAUUGCACACCUCCUCAAACUCCUUGAUGUGGGCAUAUGGAUUCUCACUCUCCAUUCCAUGGAAAUUUGGUAGAAGGGGCACAAUAUGGGGCCUUAUAAUCAGCUGCUCAAGAGGAGGUAUGAUGCAUGAGGGUGCACUCAUCCUUGGUGGGUGCAUUCUAUCCCUCAUGGAUAGAUAUGCAUUUGGAUUACCCCCUUGACCUUGUUGAGAAUUCUGAUCCUCUUGUGGAGGGUCCAUGAUGUUUACACAGAUAUCCAACUCUGUGUCUUGAGGAUUCUCAAUCCUUACUAAUCUUCCCUCUUGGUCCCGAAUCCAAUAGGGCAUGCACAAAUCACUACUUGCCUGAAAACAAAACAAAGACAACAAAAACAAAAGAAAACUAGAAGAAAGUUAAAGUUAGAAAGAAAACAAAAGAAAUUCUACAAUAAAAAAAAGAAAUAAAGUUAGUGAAAAAGGAAUUCACCAAACUUGUGAUGAAAAUCACAAGUAGCCUCUAAAAGGUUGUAUCACUGUAUCGUGGCACCAUCCCCGGCAACGGCGCCAUUUUGAUUCGCGUAUGUAAAUCCAGUCGGGUCAUUUAAUAAAAAACAUUUAUAAAACCUAUGACCUCAUACUAGUGUAGCAAAGCUACUAUAGUAUAGUGGCUCUAGGGUCGAACUCUGGGAUGGGUUUUCAUUCUAUCAGUGAUAUACUCAUGAUUAGGAAUUGAAUUUAAUGAUUUCCUUUAUCAAAAACUUAGAGUUUAAAAGAAAAUAAAAUUUGUUUUGAAAGUGUUUGAAACUAAAUUAACAUAAACUAAUUAAAAAUGGAAGAAAGAAAGUCUCCUGGAGCUCAGGAUUGCUAGGAUCAAGUUUAGAAUGCAAAGUGGAAAAUUCCGGAUUUUUCUCCUCGCAUUGGGGAUUUAACCUAUAGUUAUUUCCCGAACCAGUAUAGGUUUAACAAUGAAGAUUUAAUCCAUAAAAAUCAAUAGAAAUGGUAGUCAAGGUCCAUUAAUGGCUUUAGACACUAUGGGUCUUCACCUUGAACCACUUUCCAAUGGCUCGUACAUGAUAACUAAUGGACUGAUAUGGAUCUAGCAAUAAGCAUCCACAGAGACCUGAAGCUUACCAUGUAUUGGCCAUUCAAAGUGAUUCUAAGGGAUUUAAAGCAAAACUUUGGAUUUAAAAGCCAUUUAUGAACUUCAACUACCUGUAUUUAAAGGCACGAGCGUUUUCCACCUUGCAUCUGGACUUUUCACCUAACUUCCAUCACUCUAAGAAACCAAAAGUUUAGCCUCUCAUCCUCUGAGAAAACAUCCUCAGAGGUUGUUUGGCUUCCAAGAAAAAGAAAAUAGUAAAGAGAAAAGGGAAAACGAGAGAACUCUGUAUAUUUUUCUAAGUGUAAAACAUAACACGCGUGUUACCUCCAAGAGGUGAUUUCCACCCCUUAUAUAGUUUUUACAAAAGCAAAGCUUGUGAUUGACUUGUUACAAGGAGAAGAAAGGAAAUUACAUCAAAAAAUACAAAAGAAAAUAUCUAAAGUGGAGUCGGCAAAAAUAGAGGAAAAUUAGUACCACGCAUGGGGUGUGCGAAUUUUUGCACACCUGAGGGGGGUGUGCGAGUUUCGCACACCAUUCGCACACCAUUCGCACAGCUAAGGGGGUGUGCGAAUUUCGCACACCAUUCGCACACCAUUCGUACACCUGGAGCAGUUGUCUUCCGAAGGCCAAAUCUUCCUCGUUUCAGCUCCAAAUCGUACACAGUUUGAAGCGUUGGAUUCUUGACUUCCUGAGCUUUGAAAUGGUAUAUAGAAUGUAAAAAAUAGACUUCGGGAAGUUCUCCAAAAGUUCCAAAGAAGACUGCAGCUGCUGUCCUCUGUUUUCCUCCUUGCUUCUCUUUGCUUCUCUUUGGUUUUCUUUGCUUUUCUCCUUUGGAUGGCUUGUCUUAAUGAUCUAAAAAGAUGUCAAAAACACUAAAACUAGCCACAAAUAUGAUUAGGAGUCAUUGUUAGGUCCUUAACAUGCCAAUUGGAAUAAAGAUGAAGAAUUACUACACAAAAGUGCUUAAAACAUAAUGACUUAAAGGUGUAAAAUAGCACUUUUUGGGUAGUAAUCACAUAUCUUGGCUUUGUCCUUUAAUGUGAAUGGAAAGAGCUUCAACAUCAUAAGCUCAAUAGCUGUUCUCCCUUCUUGAAAAGUAUUGCACACAUCUUCGAAUUCCUUUAUGUGCGCAUAUGGAUUUUCACUUUCCAUCCCAUGGAAAGUAAGAAGCAGAGGCACGAUGUGUGGCCUGAUAAUCAAUUGCUCUGUAGGAGGAAUGAUGCAAGAUGGUGCACUCAUCCUCGGAGGGUGAAUCCUGUCCCUCAUGGACCUAUACAAGUUCGAAUCAUUCUCCUGCAUGUGUUUUGAAUGUUGAUUCUCUGGCUGAUUCUCUAUGACUUCCAAAAUAAUCUCUAAUUCAGUAGCUCGUGGAGUCUCUAUCCGCACUAACCUUCCUUCUUGGUCUCUAAUCCAAUAGGGCAUGCACGGCUUCAGUUGGAACAAAACAAAGAAAAAGAAAAAAAAAAACAGAGCAUACGGAAGGAAAAACAGAGUAUGAAAAAUAAACUAAAAAUGAAAGUUAAAAGCUAAAAGAAACUUAUCUAAACUAAGUUAAAAAUAUUCUAAAACUAAAAUAAAAAGUUAGUAAAUGAAAAAUGAGAUAGAAUUCACCUCACUCAUGAGAAGUCUCACAAGUUAUCUCCGGCUGAUCUAUUCACAGUGAAGUAGCACCGUCCCCGGCAACGGCGCCAUUUGAUAACUCGACUCUUGGUAGCUUGGCAUGUAAGGGUAUCAACAAAAUUUAUACCUAAGGUCCUUACACUAAAGUAGCAAAACUACUAUAGCAUAGUGGCUCUAGGAUCGAACAUUGGGAAGGGUUUUUACUUUAACUGGUGAAGUUCGGAAGAUGGAGUGAACUUUUCUUAAUAAAAAUUAGGUUAAGAUGAAAACAUAAAAAGAUGAAGGUGUUGUAAACUAAACUAACAUGAAAAUAGGUUAAAAGAUGGAAAAAGAAGUUUCUCAAAGCUUUGGAUAGCCAUGCUUAACUCACUGUGUAAAAAUGGAGAUUUUAGGACUUUUCACCUCGAGUUGGGGAAGCAACUAAGGUGAUGUUUACUUCCCGAACCGGUAUGAGUUUAACAACUGAGUUUUAGUCCUUGAAAACUUACAAAAAGGGUAGCAAAAAAAAAAACCCCAUAAAUGCUCUUUUAUUGGUAUAGGUCAUCUCCUCGACUUGUAAUACAAUGGCUCGUAGGAGAUAACUAAUGAACGUCAGUGGAUCUAACAAUAAGAAUCCACUGAGACCAAAAGGUUAUCAAGUAUUGGCCAUUCAAAGCAAGUCAGAGGGAUUCAAAGCUUUACUUUGAAUGAAAACAUUUAUGACGCUCAGCUACUUACAUUUAUGGCUUGGAAAUCUCCAUCCUGACACAGGAGCUUCACAUGGCAUCCAUUACUUCAAGAAACUAAAAGGUUUUAGCCUCUCAUCCUUGGGAAUUUCAUCUUCCAAGGAUGUUUAGCUACUAAGAAAAUGAGAAAGAAAAGAGAAAAGAAGCGUAUGAACAAAAGUGCUCUUAUAACUUAUAAAGUUACAGGUUACAAGAUGAUCGUGUCUUAGGCUCUUCACCUCUAUUUAAAGACAAUAAAAAGCUAAAUUACAAGAGCUAUUACAAAAGCAACCUUUUCAUUGGUUGAUUACAAGGGUAAAAUAGGUAUUUACAAAGCUAAAAGUCAAGCAAAAUAUCUUGGAGAACCGGCAGUGGAAUAUCAUCAACAGCGUCUCAAAACAGGGGAUUUCAAAGGCAUUUCGCAAGGGGGGAAGAUGAAAGGUUCAAAUUUCACAAGGUGGUUUCUUCAUGGUGCGAAAUGGCCAAAUUUCGCACCAUGAGGAAAAUCCCCUUACGAAAUUUUGGCAAGGUGAAAUUCACCUUGUGAAAUGGUGUUCCCAUUGCUUGUGUUCGUGUUUCCACUUGAAAUUCAAGUCUGUAAACGUCCAAAAUCCUUGCUUAACUCGUACAAGUAGCUCCUCCAUCAAUUGGCAUGCUUGAAUUGGUUCAUAAGCUGAUGAAAAACAUCUAAACUUGCCACUAAAAAUGGUUAGAACUAAUUACUAAGGAGUUUAAUGAAUUAAUUGGGUUAAAUGAAUAUGAUUACUACUCAAAGGUGCUUAAAACCCUUAUAAUUAGGUCUACAAAAUAGCACUUUUUUGUAGUAAUCAUGCACCAUUUUUUUUAUGGACUCCUUAUUCUUCAAGGAACAUUCUAUCAAAAUUUCAAAAUUUUUCUCAAUUGGUUCAUCGAGUUAGCUUGUAUGGAGCACUGAUUUUGGUGAUUUUGGAGCCCAAUUCCUACAUGGCUUGGGCCUAUGGGCUCCAGAUCAGUUUUGGGCUAUAUUUUGGAUCCAUUUUGGGCCUUAUUUCGGAUUCCUUGCAGCCCACCAUGAAUCCGUAUGGAUCCUUGGUGGGGAAGUAAAUUGAAAGCUUAAGAUAGUCAGAUUGCAUGGAAAAUGAAGAGGAGAGUUAAUGGGGAAGCUGAUUCCGAGACUGACUGGAGCUCUUUCCAGAGCUUGAAAGAGAGAAAAACAAAGAGGCUUUGAUGGCUGGAGGUCUAGGACUAUAAAAGAGGAAAAAAAUCAGAUUUGAAGGGACUUCUUUUUUUUUUUUCUGAGAGGGAGAACUCUGUGGAAUCGUGGGGGAGGAAUUUUAUAAGAGGUUUUUGGAGGGUUUCUUUUUGUGAGUGGUCUGAGGGAGUGGAGUGAAGAGUUCCUCAGACUUUUGGGGGUCUCGGAUACAUUUGGAGAAGCUUUGCAAGCUAAAGGAGCACUUCUCAAAGGCUGGUUCUUUAGGUACGUUUUUGGUUUCUCACAGAACUCUUGCUUGCAUUCGGUUUCUCUUUCUGAUCGUUCCAGAAUGCUUAAUGCUUUAUUGAUUGGUGUGGAUGAAAAGGGCCACAAAUUGUUAUGUUCAAAAUUGGUUCUUUGUGUGCUUGCCAUGAUCUUCAUUCAGUUGAUGCCAUUGGUCCCGUUUGAUUUUAUUCAUGUUAAAAAUCUAUUUUGAAUCAUUCUCCCGUUUUUAUAAACACAUUGCCUUGUUUUGGUCGGUCUCCCUCAUCCGGGCUUGGAAUUGAGUGUUGUUGUUUUUUUUGGAUUCUUUAUUUUUUGGGGAAUCUAUUGUUAAAAUUUCAGAAAUUUUCUCAACCGAUUGUACUGGUUGGGAACCAGUUCAACAGGUCCUACAUGUCCAGUCCUGUUUUAUAAACACGUUUCCUUGUUUUGACCGUUUCUCUCUCAUCCGAGCUCGGAAUUGAGCACCGUUAAUUAUUUUGGAAUAUUUAUUAUUUUGGGAAUAUACUGUUAAAAUUUCGGAAUUUUUAUCAAUGAGUUGUACUGGUUGGGAACCGGUUCUAUAGGUCCUACAUGUCCAGCCCUGUUUUAUAAAUGCGUUGCCUUGUUUUGAUCGGUUCUCCCUCAUCCAGGCUCGGAAUUGAGUGCCGUUACUUUUUUUUUGGAUUUUUUUAUUCUUUGGGAAAUCUGCUGUUAAAAUUUCAGAAUUUUUCUAAAUUGGUUGGACCGGUUGGGAACCGGUUCAUCAGGUCCUGCAUGUCUAGCCUUUUUUUAUAAACAUGUUGCCUUGUUUUGGCUAGUUCUCCCUCAUCCGGGCUCGUAAUUGAGCACCGUUACUUUUUUUGGAUUCUUUAUUAUUUGGGGAAUCUACUGUUAAAAUAUCAGAAUUUUUAUCAACCGUUUGAACUAGUUGGGAACCAGUUCAAUAGGUCCUACAUGUCUAGCCCUGUUUUAUAAACACGCUGCCUUGUUUUGACCGAUUCUCCCUCAUCUGAGCUCGGAAUUGAGCAACCUUGCUUUUUUUUGGAUUAUUUAUUAUUUGGGUAAUCUACUGUUAAAAUUUCAUAAUUUUUAUCAACCGGUUGGCUGGUUGGGAACCGGUUCAACAGGUCUUACAUGUCCAACCCUGUUUUAUAAGCGCGUUGCCUUGUUUUGGUCGGUUCUCCCUCAUCCGGGCUCGGAAUUGAGCGCCGUUUCUUUUGUUGGAUUAUUUAUUAUUUGGGGAAUAUACUGUUAAAAUUUCAGAAUUUUUUUCUCAACCAGUUGAACCGGUCGGGAACCGGUCCAAUAGUCCUUGCAUGAUUAGCCUCGUUUUAGUAUGUUUUGACCCCUAUUUUUGUUAUGGCUUGAGCCCUUAGGCUCUGAGGCACUUGUGGGCUCCUUUAGAGUUUUAAAUGGGCUCUGAACUAAAUUAGAAUAGACCCACUUAAGAGCUAGAGGCAUUAGGGGUCAAGUAAGUUUGGUUUGAUUUGAUGUUGGAGAUUGGUGAAUUGUUGUUUGAGGGAAUGUGUAAGGAAAUAUAUAAUUGGGUGCUAUCAUUUCCAUUCACUUCCUCUUUAAGCGUGAAAUUUGAUGCUUGAUCAUGAAUGCCUACUAAAUACUUGUGUUUUUUGCCUCAUAUUUUCCUUGCAGCACAUGGCUAGGGACCUUAGGUAUGCACUCUGAUUUUUUACUUGUUGAGUGUAUGUGCAUGCUAAAUACUAGGUGGGUCUAUUUGAUUCAUGUCAUUUUUUUAGCCUAAGGUUUGUUUGAUCUUUGACCCAUAUGCUCCCAUAUACCCAUUUCAUCAGUAGAGACCGAGUUCCGGACUUAGAGGGGUGCUACCUCGCGUGAGGUACCUUUCUGAUAGGUUACCUGAUCCCUGGACCUAGAAUCUAGUUUUCGCAAACCGUUUUUUCCUGAUUGGAGUCAUGAUGAGGUUUUCGUUCUUACUUAAAUUUUCCCCAUUUAAAAAUAAAAAUAAAAAGUAAGUGGCGACUCCAAACAAAACCGUUCCUCACUGGAACGAAUUUUUCAAAACUCGAAAAUCAGCUUUCCUUUUUACUUUUUUUUAAAAAAAUAGCGAGUCGCGCCAGUCGGUGGAUCGGGUGAGGGUCCACACCCUGUCCAUUCAUUUGACAUUAUUGUUCACCCAUAUGUCUUCCAUUUGUCUCUUUGUUGGUUCACAUAUGCUUUCAUAUCUUUGUACUUAAUUUCCAAGUACUUAUUUUUUAUUUCACAUGGAGAUGGAGGUUCAAUUCCCAUUCCUACAAAUCAUAUGUAAGAUUGAAUCAUGUCACAAAAGACUACACCUACUCAAAGUAUGAAACAAUAUAAAAUUUGAGAACUUAGAAAUUACCUGCUUAUUAUGCAUUGAUGAUCAUAUUCUUGAAGUGGUGAGAGUUUGCUCGCGAUGCUAUCAUAAAUAAGAAUUUAAACGUUCCAUCAUUUCUUUAAUUGAACAACCCUUUGAUAUAUCUUUGAUAUUAUUAUUAUUUUUUUGCUCCAGAAGACUUAUAAAGGGAGAGUGCAAUAGGCGUUGAUGGGUUUAAAUGUCGCAUACUUUGUGAUUUUCGUAUUGUCGGUGUACCACUAGGGUGUGACGACUCCCUUAUUUUAUGUUUGCUUCCCAUAAUGGUUUCAUAUUGUUGUCACUCCCAUUCUGUUGCCUUAGAUGCAUGAACUACAUCUUGAUAAGCAUCCUACUCAUCUGGGUGCAUAUUGCUGGAUACAUGUACACUUCUUCAACCUCGUCAUCAUCGUUAUCCUCGUCCAUGACAUGUCUAUGCCUAGCCCCCAUAAUGCCAUGUAAUUGGGCACAAAUCUCUUCAAUAUUUGCAAUUUUCUUUGCUUUUGCUUUAGUAUUUUCAUGCAAUAUCUCUCGUAUCUCUUCUUUCACUUCGAGUGGCACUCUAGGACAUUCUUUGGUUUUGUUCUAUGGGUCUUUAUGCGCUAAAUGAUACUUGAAUCGAGUGAUGCCUCCACUCUUCAUCAACAGUUCACAAUUAUUGCAAAUUAUCCCAUUUCGAUUCCCUUUUUUCUGGUGAACAAUACUUCCAAGCUAGAUCUUGGCUGAACAUGCCACUCCCACCUCCUCCACCUCCACCUCCACUUCCACUAGCCAUUGCAAAUCUAUUGAAUAUGUAUUAAUUAAUUACAAUUGAAUAAAAAAAUAAAAUUAAACAAUUAAUUAAAAAUGAACUUAUUGCAAGUCUGCCAAUUCAUUAAAAAUGUACUAAUUAAUUACAAUUGAAAAAAAAAUGAAGAAAUUAGAAAGCUACUGAUAUUGUUAAUUAAAUUAAUUAAUUAACUAAGCUAAGUUAAUUUAUGAAAAUAUACUAAUUCAUUCAAAAUGCACUAAGUAAUUACAAUUGAAAAGAAAGAUAAUAUUGAAGAAAUUGGAAAGCUACUAAUAUUAUUAAUUAACUUAAUUAAUUAACUAAGUUAAUUUAUGAAAAUCUUCUAAUUCAUUCAAAAUGUACUAAUUAAUUACAAUUGAAAGAAAAAAUAAUAUUGAAGAAAUUGGAAAGCUACUAAUAUCGUUAAUUGUAUUAAUUAAUUAGCUAAGCUAAGUUAAUUUAUGAAAAUAUACUAAUUCAUUCAAAAUGUACUAAUUAAUUACAAUUCAAAGAAAAAAUAAUAUUGAAGAAAUUCGAAAGCUCCUAAUAUUGUUAAUUAAAUUGAUUAAUUAGCUAAGCUAAGUUAAUUUAUGAAAAUCUACUAAUUUAUUCAAAAUGUACUAAUUAAUAACAAUAAAAAAGAAAAAAAAAAUGAAGAAUUUAAAAAUGUAAUAAUUAAUUACAAUUCAAUACAAAAAUAAUUAAAAUUUAAAACAAACAUACCUUACAAAAACUGAGCAACCUUAGGACUUAAAUUUAAUUCACAAACUUCACUUAUAAAUUCCCAAAUUUAUAAGAAUUUGAGAAUAGUAAAAAAAAAUUCAUGAACAAUGAGAGAUCAAAGAUGAAAUGUGGAUGAAAUUGGUGAAAAAUGAGCUAUUUAUAGUAUUAAAAAAAUUAGGCCAAAAUAGUUGUUGGAAUCUCAUUUUACCAUUGGAUCGAAAUCUGGAUGAAAUUUGACCGUUGGAUCACAUCCAAGUUCAAUUUGGGCCAUCAGAUGCACAACCAAGUAAUUGUUGAAGCUUAAGCAUGAUCUGGGUCGUUAGAUCAAUGUGGGGAGCUCACAACCAUUGGAUCAGUGCAACAAGGAGGUGCUGAUUUUUUGCUAAAAUAUCGUUGAAAAAUUGGUCGCUAAUUGUAGUAGCCAUCAAUUUUUCAACAUUUUCUGAUUAAUCGGUAAAAACCAAAAUUUCGCUGAAAUUUCAUAGAAACACAACGAUUUUUUUGGAUAUUUCUACCCUCAGACAUUUCGACCCCUGUUUCACUUCCAUUGAUUUUUAAGAGAGAUUAUUCACAUAUUGGAGGAGACAUGUAAAUAUGAAAAAUGAUUCCUUUUGGAGAGCGGGACACUCAAGGAGUUUUUACACAACAUCUUGAGAUUUUAAGAGGGAAGGGCUGCCACUCAUAGACUGGAUUUUUUAAAGACAAAAAGAUUGUAGGCACCGAGGACAUUGAGAAGAUUCACAUCAGGAUAUGGAGGGAUGCAACAGAAUUUUUGGAGGGUUUUCCUACACGCAUAAGGAGAUCAUGAAGGUUUCUGAAAGUGGUAACCAGGUCGUGAAAUUUUCGAAGACUUCUAUCACAUUCCAUAAAAAACAAUGAACUGUCUUGAAGAUUGAACUAGAACAACCAGCCUGCGUCUUCAACAACAUGAUCAACACGCACGAUUGAGCUUUAUUUUGGAUCCGAGACACACCAUUGCAAGAAAAAAGAAAAAAAGGGAAGCACAGGUUCACACACUAGGGAGAUUGGUCAGCAUGCAUCCAUUGAAGAUUUGGCUCAAAAAACAGCACGCAUCCGUUGAAGAUUUGGGUUCCAAAAACAACACGCAUCCAUUGAAGAUUUGGGGGGCUCCAAAGUAGCACGCACCAUGGAGAGUUAUUGAGCAACACAAAGAUUUUCUGAAAAGAGUAGGCUGCCAUUUAGGAGAAAUGUAAAGACACAUGGGCUGCACCAUGAUGGAAAAAAACACCAAAACGCAUUGGGAGGCCGUCUCCCUCUUCCAAAGGUGAGAGCCCAUGCACAACCCACCACGAGAGGAUCACGACUACAUGUGAUUUCAACAAGGCAACAUGCAUCAAAAAGCCACCACGCAUACUGAGGACUUCUUGCAGCACCAUGGACAUCACAAAAUAAGGUAAGAAACAUUAGUUUUUUUUUUAGCCAGUCCAUAAACUCCAAGAACCAACUUCCAUAUCCAUUAAGAGGAGGGUCCCGUAGCCAACACACAUAUACAAAAGAGAAAUAUAGUCCAUACACGAUCUUGUAUAUCCACGGGCAGUCCACACGCAUCCGUUGGAGAAGGUAAGUUUUUUUGAUUCAUUGAUUUAGAUUGAAAAAUUAUGAUCUAGUUUAGUUUAGUUUCAAUUUAUUAUUUUUAUUUAAAAGGUUAGAAGUUUGUUUAAUUAGCUUUGAUUCAUUACAAUAACCUAGAAAAGUUUGAAAUAUGUUUAAUUUGGUUUUGAUUCUUCAUAUAGGUUUGAAAGGUUGAAGUUUGGCCUAAUUUGAUUUUGAUCCAUUUGUUAGUUUUAAAAGUUGGAUUUUUCAUGUUUUUAACUUUGUUUUGGUUUAGUCUUGAUUCACCUUUUUGAGUUAGGGUGUAUAUAUAAUCUUAGUUUAUUGACCUACAUGAUCCAUAAUGAUAAAGUUCUUAUUUUUAAUUUUGUUUUAGUUAGUUUUAAUUUAUCUCUUUAGUUUAGAUGUUUUCAUAUUUUAAUUCAUUAGUUCAACUAAUCCAAUGUUGUAAAAUUCAUGUCUUUACUUUUGUUUUGAUUUGCUUUGAUUCAUCUAUUUAGUCUAGGCGUGUUUAUAAAUUUUAGUUCAUUAAUAAAAUUGAUUUUAUGUUUGAAAAUUCAUGUUUUUAGUAUACAUUGAUUUAGUGCAAUUCAUCUAUUUAGUUUAAAUACUUUUAUAGUUUUAGUUCAUCGAUAAUAUUGAUUCAAUGUUUGAAAGUUCAUGUUUUUAGUUUGCUUUGAUUUUAUUUAGUUUAGGUUCCUUUAUAAUUUUAGUUCAUUAAUAAAAUUGAUUCCAUGUUUGAAAGUUCAUGUUUUUAGUUUACUUUCAUUUAAUUUGGUUCAUUUUAAUUAGUUUACUUUGAUAGUUUUAGUUAAUAAAAUUGAUUCCAUAUUUGAAAGUUCAUGUUUUUAGUUUGCUUUGAUGUAAUUUGGUUCAUUUUAAUUAGUUUAGAUACUUUGAUAGUUUUAUUUUAUUAAUAAAAUCGAUCCCAUGUUUGAAAGUUCAUUUUUUUUUUAGUUUACUUUGAUUUAAUUUAAUUCAUCUAUUUAGUUUAGAUACUUUUAUAGUUUUAGUUCAUUAAUAAAAUUGAUUCUAUGUUUCAAAGUUUAUUUAUUUUUAAUUUGCUUUGAUUUAGUCUAGCUCAUUUUAAUUAGUUUAGGUACUUUUGUAAUUUUAGUUCAUUAAUAGGUACUUUGAUUCAGUCUAACUCUUUCUAAUUAGUUUAGGGACUUUUAUAAUUUUAGUUCCUUAGUAUAAUUGAGCCCUUUUUUUUUUAGUUUUUUUUUAAAUCAUUAAUAUGAGUUCCUACUUAUCCUUUAUCUUAAUUUGUAUGCUUUUAAAAUCUUAAUGGUUAGUUCAUGAAUCAAUAUUUUAUUAGUUUGUCUAAUCUAAAAUGCUUUGCUUGUUGCUUUAGUGAUCCUUCAUUUAAUAUAUAUAUAUAUAUUCCUGAGGCCCUUAGAAACUUAUGAAGAUUGGUUGCUAGAAAAUCUCACUUUGUUGUAGGGACCUCUCCCCACACAUGGCACACAUCCCCUAAGGACACGUGGCACACAUUCUCAUCCGGAUCAACCUCAUCCGGAUUUCCCCAAGAAUACACGUGGCGCGCUUCUUCUAUCCGGAUUCCCUCAAGGAGAGGCACACGACACUCACAAAUAUAACAUCCGGACGACGGCCACAGCACAUCCGGACGACCGACAUACACUAUCCGGGUAUGUUUGUCUGGAUCAUUGACUGAAGUAAGCAAGUCUUACACGUUAUCACAACAGCCUGUCGUGGCCCACGUUCCGCCACCUGCAGGGUGAAAGGACAAGAAUGAAGUGACGGCAAGUCACUUCCUGCGAUCACUUCCCACGAUUUCUGACAGUCGCAGCAACUACCACGAUCUCUGUCAGCCGCCCGUAGGGUGAUGAUGGCCCUGCCACCACCUAGUGUCAUCAUGACAACACAAAAUAUCUCCCUACCAUUAAAGAGGGAAACAAAAGCUUCUGAUACUAUAUAUAUGAACCUUCACACAAAGAGGAAGGUAAGCUUGCUAUACCUAGUAAAAGGCCAACUGAUUUAUCUCUCUCUCUAACCAUGGCUGACAAAACCAUCGGAGGGUGCGUCCGGACACCCUGUUCGGAUGCCUUUUGCAGGUAUUACGAUUGAAUCAAGAAUUUGUAUUGGUUGAGAUCGUGCGUCCAUCCAUUUGGCAACUACGUGGAUCACCAAGGACGCGAGGCCUCAACAUCGGCGCCGUCUGUGGGAACAUAUCACUGAUUCAGUCACCAGUAAAGAUGGCCACACCUUCCCGAAGUCGUUCAUCUGGUAGGGGAGAGGAAGAUAAAUCUGAAUGGCGCCAAGCCAUCGAAAGAAGAUAGUUGGCAAGCGAACGACAACUGAAAGCUCUCCUCCAGGAGACAGAAAGAUUAAGAGAGGAAAACGCGGUACUACGCAUCCAGGCUUCAACAUCGGGGCCUCCUCGUCAUCAGCAUUCGAGAGGCCAGGUAGCAAACUCGAGGCUAGAACCAGAGUCAAUAUAUCCUGGGGCAGCGGGAGUUAUCCCAGAAACAUACAACGCGAGGCCACAUGAGCCACACACGCCCAUGCCUUGAGCUCCCCGGGAGGAAAGCUUGGACUCCACUCAUUUCUCAGCAAAAAUACAACGUGAUAGAAAAUCCUAGUUGUCAAAUUCAAUGCGAGCGAGACUAGGCCCACAAGAGCCUGGGAGAUCAAGACCACCAGCAGCCACAACUGGGGCAGCAUGCCCUGACCCUGUGGUCACCCCCAUGGUGCAGAACGUGCUCCCGCACCGUGACCCUAUAGUCACCCCCAUGGUGCGGAACGUUCACUCGCACUUAGCGGCGCGUCAAGAUGGGAGAAACCUCCCAAAUGAGCCACCCAUUGGCUCUAUCAGCAAAAGGCUGGACGACAUGCUCUCCACGCCUUUCUGCUCUCACAUCAUUCAUUACGAGCUCCUAAGGGGAUUCCUCGUACCAAAAUUCUCCACAUACGAUGGGUCCAGCGACCCCUUCGACCAUAUCAUGCAUUAUCGACAGCUCAUGACGCUCGAUAUUGGCAACGACGCGCUGUUGUGCAAAUUAUUCCCCGCCAGUCUACAAGGACAGACCCUUUCAUGGUUUCAUCGCCUACCUCCCAAUUCUAUUGGCAAUUUCAAGGACAUGUCCGGAGUUUUCGUGGGACAAUACUUGUGCUCCGCUCGACACAAGCAGAACAUCAACACUCUGCAAAACAUAAAAAUGCAGGAUAACGAAUCCUUAAGGGACUUCGUGAAGCGGUUUGGUCAAGCCGUGCUUCAAGUAGAGGCUUGCAGUAUGGAUGCUAUCCUACAGAUCUUCAAACGAAGCAUCUGUCCAGGCACACCAUUUUUCAAAUCACUAGCUAAAAAGCCUCCUACAGCGAUGGACGACUUGUUCAGACGUGCAAACAAACACUUAAUGCUCGAAGAUGACGUACGAGCAGCCACCCAGCAAGUCCUAGUUGCUGGGCAAGCAUCUAGGAGUGGCACGGAAAGAAGUGCCAAACCUCCGGAUCGGCCGAGGCCAUCUGAUCGAAGAUAGGAGGGACCAAGUCGCCCGGAAAGGCCACCCCUCACACCUCUUUCCAUAUCAUAUGAAAAACUUUUUCUUAUGAUCCAAGGUUUGUCUGACUUCAGGUGGCCUAGACCCCUCGGAACGGACCCAACCAAGAGAGAUCAUAGCAAGAAAUGUGCCUUCCACAAGGAGCAUGGUCACAUAACGGAAGAAUGCAGAUGCCUCCAUUAUUUGGUUGAAAGGCUCAUAAGGGCGGGACACUUAAAGCAAUACCUCCGCUUAGAAGCUGGAGGUAGAGAUGCUUCCCAAAAUCACAACUUUGGAGCCCUCAGGGCCCCGGCCGCCCCCAAGGCCGUUAUAAACUACAUUAACGGAGGCCCAUCUGACGAGGAAUAUGACUCCAAACGAAAGAGACAAAAGUUGUUAAGAGCCGCAUCAGUACGUGAGCGUAUCAACUCCAUCCGACCUGGACUAACUGGAGAGGGCCCUCGCCCCAUAGAUGGGACAAUCAUUUUCCCACCAGUAGACCCCACCCGGACACUGUAGCCCCACCGCCACGCCCUCAUCCUAUCCCUAGAGAUAGGAGACUUCGAUGUGAGACGCAUUCUGGUUGACCCAGGCAGCUCGGCUGAUCUUGUACAAGCAUCGGUCGUUAGCCACAUGGGCCACAAUCUCACGGGCCUUGAAAACCCUGGGCGAAUCCUGUCCGGAUUCAAUGGGUCAUCAACUACAUCCUUGGGAGACAUUGUACUGUCGGUCCAAGCUGGCCCAGUCACUCUCAAUGUACAAUUUUCGAUGGUACAAGAUUUAUCACCUUUCAAUGUCAUCUUGGGGUGCACAUGACUACAUUACAUGAAAGUCAUCCCCUUUACAUAUCAUCAAAUGGUAAGUUUCCUUACCAAGGAUGGCCAAAUUGAUCUAUAUGGCAGCCAGUUAGCUGCUCGCCAAUGCUACCAGAUAGCACGAGAAACAGGGACCAACCAGGAGGAUGCAUCCCUUCCUGAGUCCAGCAAUGCAGGUGACCAAUAGCAAUUAUUAGGUCCGGUGGACGAAGAUCCCCCGGCAACAGAUCCCUUGCAAACAGUCCAAAUUUCGGGAGAAAGUACUCACCUUACAAAUAUCAGUUCCUCCUAACACCAGAAGAAACCCGGAACAUACAGAACGCCUUUAGACGAAACCAUGACAUCUUCGUAUGGACACAUUCUGAUAUGAAGGGAAUUCAUCCCUUUGUGGACCAGCAUUUUUCACGUGCGCCCCCACUCGAUCGGCGAGACUUGCUUUUUAUUUGUGAAAAAUUAAUUUUUGGAAAAAGUUGGAGUCGCCACUUAUUUUAUUUUUAUUUUAAAGGGAAAAUAAAACAAGAAAGAAAAACCCUAAAAUGUGACUCCAUAAUUUUUGGAAAAAACAUGUCUUUGAAAAACUCGAGUCUAAGUCCGGGGAUCAGGUUACCUAUUGGGAAGGUACCUUUAAAAGGUAGCACCCCUCUAAGCCCUCUAAAGGUCUCUACUAAUUAAGUUGAGGGAAAUGUGGCAAUUAAUUGAUUAAUUAUAAGUACCUAAGUAGGCUAGGUGAUUCCAAAUAAAAUAGCAUGCCAAACAAGAUCAAAUCACAAUAAAGGAAGGUUAGGAUGCGUACCUGGACUACCUCUCAAGCGCUAUCACAAAACAUCAAUGGUUAAUUUAAACAAUAUAUCAUCCAGCAUGUAUUUUAUUAGAAAUAAUCAAACAAUGAAACAUGUAUAACAGAACGCUCAAGCAUUAUUAGACAUAAGCAUUAUUUCACAAUGACCAGCAUAUUCACAGAAUUUAGAAAGUAGGUGAUAGAGGACAUACCUGGAUAGCAUAGAUAAUUUGUAACGUGCUUCCUCAAGUUGUAAGGGGUUAGAUAAUAAAUAAUAAAAUAUAGAAAUCCUAACAUGCUCGUUAUCUAAUUAGCAUAGCAAAAGUGAUCAAAGUAUGCAGAAUAAUCAAUUAUCACAUACAUUUUGUAUUUAAUUCCAAAAAAAAUAGAUAGACGUGAUUUCAACAAGUGUCAAAUGUGGCAACAAAAAUAAAUUUCGAAAAGAUAUUCUUAUGUAGGGGUUUCACCAAUUCCCCAAAUUAAUAUACACAAAUUUAGCCUAGAAUUAUCCCAUUCAUUUGGGACCACAAGCUUUGAUUCGUGUUUUUGUUCAAAACCAAAAUUUUUGUUGAAAACCGAGAAGGAUGCAAACCGAACAAGAUAUGGUUGCAUAUUAUUUUUAAAUAAAUAAAUAAAAGAGAUUUUGAUCCUGAGGACUCUAAUGAGUUUUUGAAAUAGAUUUUUAAAAUGAUUUUUUGAGAAAAGUAUUUUAUUUUAAAAUAAAAGGGGUUAAUUUGGGAAAAAAUAAAAUAUAAGAAAUAAAAUACCAAACAAAACAAAAAUGAAACCUCAAAGUAGAAUUUUUUUAGUAAUUAACAAAAAUGAUAAUGGUGAUGGUAGAGGCCAAUCUUCAUGAUUUUCCAAUGGCCUCAGAAAGAGAAAUCAAAUUAAAUGAAGGAUCACUAAAGCAACAAGCAAAGCAUUCUAGAUUAGACAAGCUAACAAGGUAUCGAUUCAUGAACUAACCGCUAGGAUUUUAAAAGCAUAUAAAUUUAGAUAAGGGUGAUCAGGAUCUAACAUUAGUGAUUUUGAAACAAAAACUAAAAAUGGAUCAAUUCAGGUAAGGAACUAAAAUUAUAGAAGUACCUAAACUAAUUAAAACGAGUUUGACUAAAUUAAACUAAAAACGUGAACUUUCAAACAUAGAAUUAAUUUUACUAAUGAACUACAAUUAUAAAAAUGCUUAAACUAAUUAAAAUGAGCCAAACUAAAUCAAAGCAAACUAAAGAUAUGUACUUUCAAGCAUAGAAUUAAUAGAAAAAUGGAAUUAAAAAAUCUUAACAUAAACUAAACAAUAUGAAACCAAUCGAAUUAAUUAAAACUCUAAAGAAUAUCAACUAAAGCAGGAUCAAUCAAAACUAAAAUAACUUUUUUUCUUUAUUUAUUUUAAAACAUGAAUAUAUCAACGUGGAAUGAAAUAAAUUAACCAACUUAAAUUCUAAAAUUAAUAAACUAAAAGAAUGAAUCAUGAAUUAGAUUUAACAACCUUUAGAUAUGAAAAGAUGUGACAUGGAAUCAAUUGAACUAAUAAACUGAAUUUAAUAACAUCUAAACUAAAAGAUAAAUUAAAACUAAACUAAAAGAAAUUAUGAAUUUCCUAAUUGAGAAAAAAAAAUAAUAGUAAUAAAGCUAAUCAAAAUUCUAAAUUUUAAACCAUUAUCAUGAAUUGCCCAAACUCUUAAAAAUCCUAACCUUUCCAUUAUCAACAAGAAUUGCCUAAACCAAUAUUUAAUAAUGUUAAUCAAAAUUCUAAAUUUUAAACCAUCAUCAUGAAUUGCCCAAACUCUUAAAAAAAAUCCUAACCUUUCCAUUAUCAACAAAAAUUGCCUAAACCAAUAUUUAAAAAAAAAAAAUCUAAUUUGUCAAACUAAACAAAUAAAUUGUAAUUAUGUUAAACAAAAAUCAUAAUCUUCAAGCUAGGAUAAUAAAUCAAAAUUAAUUUAUUUAGUUAAGAAAAAGAAAUUAAAAUUAACAUUUAAACUAAAUAUGAAUUUACAAUAAAAAAAAUAAAAUAAAAUUUAAAAAUGCAUAGGCCAAAUAGGAAUAAUUUUAAAACUAAAUCAUGAAUAUAAUGUUAUUGGAAAUAAUUAAACCUAAACAAUAGAUAAAAUCCUAAACAAGUAUGAAUUGAAUUGAAUAUUUCAUGAAACGAAAUUAUAAUAGCAUGAAUUAGAUUACCUUAAAACGUGAAGGCCACUUUCCACCAGUAAGAGUUUUUAAUUAAAAAAAACAAUUCCAAAGGUGACUUGUGUGAUGGAUAUCCAUGCACAGCAAGUCCUCAAAGUGCUGCACGUUAGUGGAGAGGAAUUUCCUUUGACAGCGUGCACACUUGUGCUCUUGAAGAUGAAGUCGUGAAGAUCUGUAGAGUGGUGGAAGCCUUUCCCUUAAAAUUCUGGUGCGCUUGUGGUGUUCAGGUAGCGGGAUUGACAAGCUGGUGUGGAUCUCCAAUGGUAGUUGGGUGUUUCCGGAGAUGCAGCCUUGAAGAUUCCCUCAGAGUGACCUACUGCUGGUGCGUGUCUUCUAUGGGAUUUGUGUUGCGUGCUGGUCCUCUUGACGGUGAGGAAUACGGCUGUGUGCUUGCAGUCCCCCUCCCCAUGGAAGCCCCCCACUUUCAGAGAAUUUGUGGCCGCUCCUCCUUCCCAUGCGUGGUAGAUGCCUCCUUCUUAAAAUUCUGGUGCGUCUCCUCUAUCCAAAAAAAAUCUCUACGUUCUUUCUUUCCUUUUUCCAAAAAAUCCCCCCUCCUUCUCUACUGCCCCCUUCCUUUUUCAUAUGGUAGCCUCACAUCUUUUCGGAAUAUUUUCUUUCCUUUUUUUUUUAAUGCGCAUGGAUAUCCCGAAAGUGUGUACAUGGUGACUCACUCAUGGUAGCUUAGCUUUAAAGGCGUAUCAACAAAAUUUAUACCUUAAAUACUAUUACUAAAGUAGCCAAGCUACUAUAGCAUAGUGGUUCUAGGAUCGUUCACUGGGAAGGGUUUUCGCAAACACUAGUCAUAUGCAAAUUAGGAAAAUAGGUGAUUUUCUUAUGGAUGUUAGCUUUAAAAGAAGAUGUAAAUGUUUUAGAAAGAUUUAAACUAAUCUAAGCUAACAUUAAAGACUAAAAUGAAAGGGUGUAAAAACAAGUUUCUCAAAGAUAGGAUAGUUAUGCUCUGGCUCUUAUGCAAAUUGGAAAUCUUAGGAUAGGCUCCUCGUGUUGGGGUUGCAACUAUGGUGAUGCUUGCUUCCCGAACCGGUAUGGAUUUAGCAAAUCAAUUUUUAAUCCUUUAAAAUGACAAAACAGAUGGUAGUGAAUUUCAUCAAUGGUUAUUCACCUUAGACUUCCUUUGAAUGGCUCGUAAGAGAUAACUAAUGGUCUAAAGCCAAAAGCUUACCAAAUAUUGGCAACUCAAAGUCAUUCCAGGUGAUAAACUCACCUUUCAAUGGCCAUUGGAAUUGGUUCUAAUGGAUUAAUGCGAAACUUGGAAUUGAAAACCUCACCUUCCAAUAGCUCGUAGGAGAUAACUAAUGGAUAGAAAUCCAAAAGCUUAUCAAGUAUUGGCCGUUGGAAGUUGUCCAAAUGAAAUAAAAACCAAACUUUGCAUUAAUGAACCUUUAAUGAAAAAUGACUACCUUACCUUCUGGGUGCGAGAAAUUUCCAUGGAAUUGCAUUCAAGUCAUCACAUAACAUCCAUACUUUGAGAAACUAAAAGUUUUAGCCAAUCAUCCUCUAAGGAAAAGCCCUCAGAGGCUGUUUGGCUACUAAGAAAAUAGAAAUGGGAAAGAACAGGAGAAACGAGAGAGCUCUGUAUAUUUUCUAAGUGUAAAACCCAAUUUUAGAAAUCUCAUCCAUCCAAAACUUUUUAAAAAUCGAAUUUCAAAACCAUUCCAUGCAUGGCCGUCCACUUUGAUUUUCAUUUUCCAUCAUUUAAUUUUGUUUUUCAUCAUUAAAAAACUACCCAAACACCUUAGGAAUCUUGUUUAGAGCCUAACCAUACCUUUUAAAAAACCAUUUUUGAAUUUUUUCCCAAAACUUGGAAAACACACAGUCGGGCUUCAAAGGAGGUGAACAGUGACUGUGCCAAUUUUGGCACUCACUGUUCACUCCUCCUUUGUUUUCCCCUGUUUUAGCCAAAAAUCUCCAAUUUUAACACCCCUGCAAGCUACAUUCAAAUGUCAUUGCAACUUAUAUGAAUAUACCAUCAUGGCAUGGACCCUUUGAGCCUUGUCCUCAGCUGCUCAAAGUGGGGCCCACUCAUCAUUUUUGUAAAUAUUUAGUAUAAAUUCCUCUCUCAUUCAAUUUUUGAAUUUUGAAACAGGUGGUUCAACCUUCCCAACUCCAAGUCCACAUCACAUGAGGUACCACUUCCUUCCUCCUUAUUUUCGAUUCAAACAUUGAGGACAAUGUUCAUCUCGGUUGGGGGGAGAGUUGAGGAAGUAAGUAUUUCCUAUUUUAGUUAGUUAUUUUGUUGAUUUAGUAGUUUUUGCCCUUUUUCAAAAUUUUUUGUUUCAUUCUCUAUGGUUGUUAAAGAUAAUUUCUCAAAAUAAAAUAGGAUAAGUCGAGUUUUAACUUAAUUACUUAAGUCUUAGAGUUUGUUUUAUGCUUUCAAAGUUGAUAAUCUAUUGAAGCCCUCUUUGAUUUCGAACUUAUUUCUUCCAUUUCAAGCUUUACACACACCGUGCACAUUAGAUCCCAGAUUUAUGAUGUAAAACUUUCUCACCCUCUAAGCUUAGGAAAAUUUUGACUUGGUUUAUUACUUAACCUCUUUUUAAUAGUGUUGGGACACCUCAAAAAGACCAAUGAGUCUUAGAAAAAGAAAAAGAGAAAAAAAAAAGAAAAAGGAAAAGAGAAAAAGAAAAAGAAAAAGAGAAUAAGCUUCUAUUCUUUCCUUGAAACCUAAGCAUGAUCCGAAGGGGUGGCGAAAGCCUUUAAAACCAGAUGCCCUAAACCUUGAUUGGUUGGGAGUCAUCGAUCCUCUGCUUGCUAUAUAGGUGAAUUGGUUAAGUUUAGUGAGUGAAAAGAAUUGUGAAUAAGAAGGUGCGUUCCUAACCUAUUAAGAGUUGGUUAAUUUUGCCAAUGUUCGAGAAAAGCUUAGGUUGGGGGGAGAGGACAGUUGUACAUACUAUAUCCGGAAGCUAAUCUCAUUAACACUUAGCUCAUUAUGGAAGAGUUUGAUCUGGAACCUUGAGAGUAGAGAUUCUUUUGAUACUUAAUUGCAUAAUCUUCACUCUUUGUACUUUUUGUUUAAGUUUUAGCUUUGACAACUACUAUUGCAUUUUGAAUCUUCAUAUCUUUAGUUCACCAUGUGAGAUGUGUUUUGAUAUCAGUCAUGCCACUCAAUUAUUUUUUGGAGUGAUUUGCAUGAUCCCUUUUAUGUAUAUUAUUAUAGUUUACUUAGUUUUUAUCUCCUCCAUUGCUAAGGGACUAGCAAUGAGUCGGUUGGGGGGUGUGAUUACUACAAAAAAGUGCUAUUUUUUAGACCUAAUUAUAAUGGUUUUAAUCACCUUUGAGUAGUAAUCAUAUUCAUUUAACCCAAUUAAUUCAUUAAGGUCCUUAGUAAUUGGUUUUAACCAUUUUGUGGCAAGUUUACAUGUUUUUAUCAGCUUAUGAAUCGAUUCAAGCAUGCCAAUUGAUGGAGGAGCUAUUUGGGCAAGUUAAGCAAGGAUUUUGGACAAUUACAGGCUUGAAUUUCAAGUGGAAACACGAGCACAAGCAAUGGAGAAGAGGAAAACAGAGUGAAGAAAACAGCUGCAGUCUUCUUUUGCACUUUUAAAGCACUUCCUGAAGUCCAUUUUCUACAUGCUAUAUACCAUUUCAAAGCUCAGGAAGUCAAGAAUCCAAAGCUUCAAACCGUGUAUGAUUUGGAGCUGAAAUGAGGAAGAUAUAGCCUUCGGAAGACAACUGCAUCUCACCUUGCGAAAAUUUCGCAAGGAGAUUUUCUUCAUGGUGCGAAAUGGCAAAAUUUCGCACCAUGAAGAACCCCCUUGCGAAAUUUCGCAAGGUGGAUUUAGGCACAUUGUGAAAUUCCUUUGAAUCCCCUGUUUUGAGACGUUGUUGAUGUUAUUCCACUGCCGGUUCUCCAAGAUAUUUUGCUUGAUUUUUAGCUUUGUAAAUACCUAUUUUACCCUUGUAAUCAACCAAUGAAUAGGUUGCUUUUGUAAUAGCUCUUGUAAUUUAGCUUGUUAUUGUCUUUAAAUAGAGGUGAAGAGCCUCAGAUCAUCAAAUCUGGUAACCUGUAACUUUAUAAGUUAUAAGAGCACUUUUGUUCAUACGCUUCUUUUCUCUUUUCUUUCUCAUUUUCUUAGUAGCCAAACAUCCUUGGAGGAUGAAAUCCCCAAGGAUGAGAGGCUAAAACCUUUUAGUUUCUUGAAGUAAUGGAUGCCAUGUGAAGCUCCCGUGUCAGGAUGGAGAUUUCCAAGCCAUAAAUGUAAGUAGCUGAGCGUCAUAAAUGUUUUCAUUCAAAGUAAAGCUUUUAAUCCCUCUGACUUGCUUUGAAUGGCCAAUACUUGAUAAUCUUUUGGUCUCAGUGGAUUCUUNNNNNNNNNNNNNNNNNNNNNNNNNNNNNNNNNNNNNNNNNNNNNNNNNNNNNNNNNNNNNNNNNNNNNNNNNNNNNNNNNNNNNNNNNNNNNNNNNNNNUAUUGUUAGAUCCACUGACGUUCAUUAGUUAUCUCCUACGAGCCAUUGUAUUGCAAGUCGAGGAGAUGACCUAUAUCAAUAAAAGAGCAUUUAUGAGGUUCAACUACCCUUUUUGUAAGUUUUCAAGGACUAAAACUCAAUUGUUAAACUCAUACCGGUUCGGGAAGUAAGCAUCACCUUAGUUGCUUCCCCAACUCGAGGUGAAAAGUCCUAAAAUCUCCAUUUUUACACAGUGAGUUAAGCAUGGCUAUCCAAAGCUUUGAGAAACUUCUUUUUCCAUCUUUUAACCUAUUUUCAUGUUAGUUUAGUUUACAACACCUUCAUCUUUUUAUGUUUUCAUCUUAACCUAAUUUUUAUUAAGAAAAGUUCACUCCAUCCUCCGAACUUCACCAGUUAAAGUAAAAACCCUUCCCAGUGUUCGAUCCUAGAGCCACUAUGCUAUAGUAGCUUUGCUACUUUAGUGUAAGGACCUUAGGUAUAAAUUUUGUUGAUACCCUUACAUGCCAAGCUACCAAGAGUCGGGAUAUCAGUAUCUAGGGUGCUCACACUACUGAAACAACCAGUAAACCAAUCAUCUGCUAGAAUCAAUGGGUCAAGAACCAAUACAUCAUGACAAACCUCUGAAAAGUCAAAACUGAAAGAGGCCUCUGUGUUUGAAAAACUGCUCUGUCGACGAAUCUCAAAAGGUAAACCUCAAAGCGUGUAUAUCGUGGCUCAUCUAAAAGCAAAUCUCAAAGUGCACAAAAUGGUGCUUGUUCGGAUAACCCAAUCGACAAGGUAAUAAUGACGAAAACAAAUCUGUCUCGUGAACAUCUGGCUAAAGGAUCCACCCACGCUCCUCGGGUGAAACUUGAUGCGAUCCAUCUCUAUCUCAACAAAUCCAUGUAGGGAGGCCCUGAUACAGUCGAUCGUCGGAAGCUCUGGGCUAGUAAUCAAUCUAAAACCAAGCUGGUCACUGUCUCAAUCUCAAGGAUACUCAGAAAGUAGGGAAAUAUGCCCCAGUAUGAGACCUGAUGUCAAAGUCAUAAGCUAAACAACCGACACCAAUCAUCCAUCCUCAUAUCACUGCCCAAAUAAAUCUCGUAAUGGAGAGGGGAAUAUGCCCCAUUAUGGAUAUCGGAUGUCAAAGUCAUGAGGCAAACAAACUAACAAUGAUCAUCCAUCCUCGUACCGCUGUCCAAACACAAUCUCAUCAAGGAGAGGGGAAUAUGCCCCAGUGUGGAUAAUCUAAUGCACAAUAAAGAGUCUGUCAAAAUCAACCAAACAUCUCUAUAACCAUGAAUAAAGAUAGUCAUGUCGUCCAAUAACAAAUA
rnacentral:lncRNA from 1 species